rnacentral:lncRNA from 1 species
AUUUCCUCGAACACUUCGCCCUCCACCACCAUGGCCGCCGCCGCCUCCACCCUCGCCUCCCUCUCCGCCACCGCGGCCGCGGCCGCCGGCAAGCGCCUCCUCCUCUCCUCCCCCUCCCGCUCCCUCUCCCUCUCCCUCGCCUCCCGCGGCCGCAUCGCCGUCAUGCCCCACCUCCGCGCUGGCAUCCUCUCCGCCGCACCGAGGAGGGCGGUGUCGGCCUCGGCCCCGGCCGCGGCCACCAUCGCGGUCGGGGACAAGCUCCCCGACGCGACGCUCUCCUACUUCGACUCGCCCGACGGGGAGCUGAAGACGGUGACCGUGCGCGACCUCACCGCCGGGAAGAAGGUGGUCCUCUUCGCGGUCCCCGGCGCGUUCACCCCGACCUGCACGCAGAAGCACGUCCCGGGGUUCGUCGCCAAGGCCGGGGAGCUCCGCGCCAAGGGGGUCGACGCCGUGGCCUGCGUCUCCGUCAACGACGCGUUCGUGAUGCGGGCGUGGAAGGAGAGCCUCGGCGUCGGCGACGAGGUGCUCCUCCUCUCCGACGGCAACGGCGAGCUCGCCCGCGCCAUGGGCGUCGAGCUCGACCUCUCCGACAAGCCCGCCGGCCUCGGCGUGCGGUCCCGCCGCUACGCGCUCCUGGCGGAGGACGGCGUCGUCAAGGUGCUCAACCUCGAGGAGGGCGGCGCCUUCACCACCAGCAGCGCCGAGGAGAUGCUCAAGGCGCUCUGAAGCGUGAACAACUCAAGCCAUCCUCCACUUUUCAUCUCAAAUCUCCAUAGCUCGGUUCGUUGCCUACUUCUCUCAAGUGUUCGCUUCUUUUCCUGAAUAAUAAAUCAUGGCAACAAUGGUGGACCGUGCAGAGUAGUGUUGUCGUUUUGAUGUGUGAAGCUUCUAUAGCGAACAUAGUGUGCAAUUUUUAGGUAACAUAUAUGAGUCUUGGCCUUGCACUGUUUGUCAGGUAGUAACAACUUGGCACAGCUAUAGACUGUAGUAACAGAGUUCCUUUCAUGUUGAAUGGUGAGGCUGUGAUGUGUUCUAGAGCUGAAUAAACGUGCUCUGGUAAAUACUGUCACCAGAUCAGACUAUGGAGUAGUAGUAAGAUUUUGCUUGGUUAAUUGGGCAAUGGCUAUUUUUCAGGAUCGUUCAGUUGAGAUAAACAUGUUUUGCUGUUCAGAUGAGUUCGAAAUGCCGUUGUUUGUUCUUUUUUUAAUGCCGAAUAUAUGGUGAGAGAUUCAGCAAGCCAGGGGUCAGAUGCCCCUUGGCAUGAAACAAAGGCUCUUCUUGCAUUUGCUGACAGUAGUCACUAGUCAGAUCUUAUUUAUGUAUGGAUUUCUCAAAAUUUGCCCAUUUCACCAACCCUACUGAAAAGAACAGACACUGCCGAGUGUAACACAUGUUUUAGGCAUCUCGGGAAAAUUCCUCAGUAAUGCAGUGUAGUGCACUUUGGCGACUUUGUUAUAAUGCUUUGGGUGAACUCGUUGUUUACUUUGUUAGUUGCGUUCAUAGAGGUUUACUGUCGGUGAUAUGGGCCCGGGGGUAUCAUGUUUAGAGGCCCAGAGAUUGGACGGAGGAGGCUGCCCCCCAAUGCCACGUGGCCCUCCCCCGAGGGGAGUGAGGCCUGAGGUGGGGUGGCGGCCACUCCUUCCCAAAGACUAGUCGGAGGAGGUUGCCCCCCAAUGCCACGUGGCCCUCCCCCGAGGGGAGUGAGGCCCGAGGUGGGGUGGCGGCCACUCCCUCCCAAAGACUAGUCGGAGGAGGCUGCCCCCCAAUGCCACGUGGCCCUCCCCCAAGGGGAGUGAGGCCCGAGGUGGGGUGGCGGCCACUCCCUCCCAAAGACUAGUCGGAGGAGGCUGCCCCCCCAAUGCCACGUGGCCUUCCCCCAAGAGGGGUCGGGCCCGAGGUAGGGCGGCGGCCACUCCCUGGUCGAGACUAGAGGGGGAAGGCUGCCCCAGGCGCCACGUGGCCCUCCCCCGAGGGGGGAUCGGGCCCGAGGUCGGGCGGCGACCGCCCCCUCUCGUGACUAGGGGUCGGGCUCCCCCAACCCCCUCUCUAGGUCAUCACGUACGGUGGGUUAGGUGUCCGCCUAUAGGUGUCCACUUACCCGCAUUUAUGGCGACCCGAGCGGUCGCGCCACGCCGCAUUUAAUGUGCCGUGCAGUAUACUCAACCGGUCUGUGACCGGUCGAAUCACCGAUGAGACUGGGUAGUGCGCCUGUGCGCUGCUCGUGUGUCAGGCGGCGUGCAGCCUAACAUGUCCUAUCAAAUAAUGAUGGUGAGAGGUUCUCAUCCUCUUAUCCCAGCCGGAGUCGGUCCUCCCGCCCUGGUCAAAGCUAGGCUCCCGUUUCCCGGUGUAAUAGGAGCCCGGAAGUCUUCACCCAUUAAAAGCAGCUGACAUGGGCGCCCCUCGUGUCAGGCGGCAAGAUUUGACAGGCCCCAUCAUCAAGAUGACGUGCGCUUGCUUCCCAAGUCAAGAGAUAAGACAGGCAUUUAAUGCAAAACACUUCUUUACCGGAGCUAGGUUUUUGGGCCCAUGUGGUAACCCCUUGAGGUAUGAAAGGAGAUCCAGGCCUAGUAAAAGGGGGAGGGAUCCGGGACGAUCCAUUUUGAUGCUCUAGAGCAGUCUCUAGCCCCGAAUGAUCAACACCACAUUUUACUUCAACAAGAGGAUCUUGUAAUCCUUCACUUAAGGAGCAUAGCACAGGAGUAGGGUAUUACGCUUCUUAGCGGCCCGAACCUGUAUAAAUCCCUUGUGUCUCUUUUGCCUCGAAAACCUCGGAUCUCACCCGCUGCCCCCGGCCAAACCAAAAAAGGGGAUCUCACGAUCUCCCGCUAGAGAGGAUCACUCCUCGACAUUUACAUUAGCAUGCCGUGAUUCAGGCCUCCGUGUAGACUACUUCUGCAUUCUUUUCUCCACUUCAAUUGAUGAAACGAAAAAAAAUCCUAUUUAUCUCUUUAGUUAUUGUCUGUCCGAAUUACCCUCCUCAACUUCAAUACAGGACAUUAUACCACCAAACUUCUUAAACCUAAUGAACUACCCUUUGAUCCCAGUCCAUGUAAUUUUAGCCCUACCUGGUAGACACUCGACAGUUCAGUUAGCAAGGUUAUAAAGAUUUCAAAAAAGGUAUAGUUGAUCCCACUCGUUAGUCUCUUAUUCCUCUUAAUUCUCUCUCAACUCCCCCCUCUCCCCCUCAUGGAGGUGUCCCUAGAGUUUAGUGCCCUAGAACCCAUGGCAGGGUUGGAGUACAGAGGUACUCCCUCCGUCCAAAAAAAAAAAGACAAACCCUGGGUUUCCGUGUCCAACUUUGACUAUCCGUCUUAUAUGAAUUUUUUUUUAUAAUUCGUAUUUUUAUUGUUGUUAGAUGAUAAAACAUGAUUAAUAUUUUAUGCGUGACUUAUCUUUUUAAUUUUUUUUAUAAUUUUUUUAAAUAAGACGGACGGUCAAACGUUGGGCACGGAAACCAGGGUUUGUCUUUUUUUUUGGACGGAGGGAGUAGCUGUGUAGCUCGGUGUCGUUGAUCCCUGUGGACGAGCUGAAGCCCCAAGCAGUGGCACUUGUGUCAACAUCAAUCCUGUCGGAGGAGGAGCUUCAUGGCGGUGGUGGCGCAUGAAUGGGGGUGGUUCUAGGAGAGACUGCUUUAGGAGGGGAGCGUAGUUAGGUGGUGCCGACAUCUACAUGUGAGGAUGGAUGAGGGGAGCGCAAACGCCGGCAUUGCCGAGGAGGAAGGGGAGGCGAGGCUGAUGGGAGAAGAGGUUGCACAUCGGAGUACGAAGAAGAAAGCAGAGAGGAGGAAGAAGACUAGGAAGAACCGAAGGGGCGGACAGGUGUGCCCAUUGUCAUUAGGGUACCACAAUACCUUGGGAGUACUGAAGCCACCCUGGAGUAGGCGGUCGAUGGGUGGGGCUGUUCAUCCAUGGGUUGAAAGAAACCUGCCUAACCGGCCGUAUUCAUUUUUUCUCGUACCAUAUGAUUAUGAAGUGUGUUAAUGUGUUAUUGGUACCUAGACGCUGUUCUAGAAGACAAUGACAUCGAUGCUCAUCCGUGCGUUUUGAUGUAAACCCGUGCUUUUCUUCAGCUAAUUUUUUCUUCGCUGCCUUCGCUGCACAAAGGCAGCCAGGACAUGGGCCUUCAUGGGCACGAAAUUGGCGCCCUUUCAUCCCUGGAAGACAAAGUAGACUUAUUCCUUUAUCCAGCAGCAAUACGAAAGCCCAUUAAAAGAUCAGCCCAAAGAAGCCCACACGAACAGGUAUAGGUGCAAUGCAAUCCACCUCAACCCUAAUCCCCAUCCAUUUCCUGCCGCCGCACUCCUGUUGCGCAAUCGCGUGAGUAAACAACAGGUAGCGACCGCCCAACGCCGCUCCUCGCGCGGUCGCGCCCAACGCUGCGCCGCCCAUUAGGCCCUUUACAGUGCAACACCGUGGACCGGUGCUCCAGCUCGACACGUCGGAUUCGAGCUUGCGUGGCGCUAGGGUCCGCGCCCCAGCAGAGGACCUCGCUCCCGCGGAGGGAAGUGCGAUUACUCCCUGCCGCGAGCCCACGCGAGGCGAGGAAACGGCGGCUUUUCUGCGCUGUGGAGCGCGUUGCCCCGCCCACUCGUGCCCUCGCGGCAACAAAUCAACAAAUCGCAGCAGCCGUCCUCUUGCUUAUGCUCCUCCUCCUCGCAGCGGCGGCGGCGGCGGCGGCGGCUGUCGCAUGAGCAGGUGGCGGCCGGUGCCGCGGGGUCCGGAGUCGUGGGAGGAGCAAGCGGCGUGGGCGGCACGGCUCCUCCAGCGGCUCCCAACCUAGUGCUCACCUCGCCCGCUUCCUCCUCGCCGCCCGUUCUUGAGCUGCCACCGCCACGCACGCCGAGCCCGUCGACGCCGUGCUCCGUCGUCUUGGCCAGGAGGGGCCAGUGAGCUCUCGCGCCGCCGCCGCCGCCGCCCUCCGCGCCCUCGUCUUCAGCCAGAACUGGAGGGGCCGUCCUUCGCUGCCGCUCGGCCCGGAGGAGAGGAGAGCCAGCGCCGGCGGAGGGAGGAGGGGAGAGAGCCGGUGUUGAGACUGAGUAGUAGUUGGGGGAUUUGGAUAAAGUAGUAUUUGUGGGUGAAGAUUUACAUUGUUCUCUCGAUUUUAGGGUGGUUACUGUAAAAUUUGGACUCCUUUGCAAAUUGAUAAACACAUGAGGGCUGAAAUGGAAAGUUACAGGGGCUGAAAUGGAAAAGUAAGUCACUCAUGAGGCUAUUUGCACCGUGGGAAUAAAAAAACUUGAAUCCGGGUCUUCAGCCUAUGUGGAAUGGGAUGAGGGAACACUGCACUGUGAAAAGCCUUAGUUCCUUGCGCCCAGCGCCGCACCGUGUUGCUGUGCCCUCAGCCUCGGCGCACAUUCUCCUCUCCUAUUCCUCCCGAGUUGAAGCCUGAAAGGGUAGCCUCAUACCCUAAAAAAAGAGAAUGUUCCCGUGAGUCCAAGACUGACGCCUUUUGUUGAUUCCGGGCCCUUAGAUGCAUGAUCAGAUGCGUGAUGGUUGAGAUUGUCCCCAACGUGCAGGUCAAGCACAGCUCCAACCCUCUUCGCUGCUUCGUCAUUGCCAUCAACAAGCUUCGUUGUGUUGUCCACCAUCGUUCUCUUUGCUGUUGUGCAUCCAACGUGCGGGGCCCCGAUCGGGUUCCGAGGACCCGCUAGGGUGAGGGUGGGGGCGGGAGAUUUCGCCCUAAACUCCCGAACUCCUGGUCAGGGCCGGGGGUGGGGCGAAGAAUGCGGGGACAGGGCCGGGGGCAUUCUACCUCCACCAGGCCCCGACUCAUCCCGUUGCCAUCCUAUUCACGUGUCGCUAUCGUCCUCACCGCUCACCCCAUUGCCAUCCUAUUCACGCGUCGCUGAUCGUCCUCACCGCUCAGUCUCUUACAUGCAAAUGAGGUGGAUGCUGCAAUCGGGAACUUAGUCGAGUCGCUAGAUGUGGAGAAGGAAGAUCGUGAGAUUAGGAAUUCGUGGAUUGGGGCAUGGGAAUAUGUUGUAAUGGUUCUUUUUUGAACCCCCAAAUCCCAAAUUGGGAUCGAUGUGUGGAUACCAUAGGUGAUGCUUACCAACCUUCAGUUUGGAGGUAGUCUUUAAAAAAGUUUCGAGGUGGAUAGCACAAUGUCGUCUCGUCUACAUGCACUCUUUGCAAUCCAUAUGGUGAACAAUGCCGUCGUUUAACUGAAGUUUCAAACCAUUGACACGACAGUUGAAAGUAACUUCAAUAAUUUCCACCAUUAGCAACCAGCACCGCCGAAGAUGUACUAUUCGCCGCUAAUUGCCUUCCAAGAAGCCAUUGUUAACGUGAUGAGCUCUACGUUUUGGCAAACUUCAGAAACCAAAACAGUGAAGCGUUGGUAGUUAUCCACUACGGAUCCGCUUUGGAUGAGCUUAUCCUGUACUUCGAAAGGCCAUAUAUAUAGCCACAUCACAGAUUUCCCCAAUGUACAUAUCACGGAAAACAUUCAGUAUUUCUGAUCACUGGACCAUCCAGACCAGUUAGUUUUGCGUGCCAUUUCAAGACUAGUAUGACGAACCUAAGUCUGCAGGCCAGCAAGCACCCACUGCAGCAAAACUGGUUCACCACGUUUGUCCCUUCCAAUGAGAAUUUUUUUUAUUUAUAAUUUUUUUUAUUAAAAGUUUUACAAAAAUAAUUUUCCAUUUUGAAAAUUGACGGAAAUAGUCGCCUACCGCCCUCUGGGAAAAAUCGCCCUCCCAGAGGGCGGCGAAAAUGACGUGGCAGACGGCCGUUCGCUCUCGGGCGACGGCCGUCAACGAAAUUUGCAGGCGGCCCCCUUGCCGCCCUCCGCGAGGGCGAUUUUGUACUGUGCGGGGGGCCGCCUGCAAAUGGGCGGCGAGGGGGGGCAUGGAAAUUUGCAGGCGGCCCCCUUGCCGCCCUCCGCGAGGGCGAUUUUGCACUGUGCGGGGGCCCGCCUGCAAAUGGGCGGCGAGGGGGCAUGGAAUUUUGCAGGCGGCCCCCUUGCCGCCCUGGGGGAGGGCGAUUUUGUACUGUGCUCUAUAUUUUUUUUAUAUAAAUAUCAAUAGUUAUCAAAUCUUUUUAUAUUGAAAACUAUACAAGAUUAAAAUCUCCAAGAUUGGUAAAAUACAAUUUUAUUAUUUUUUAGGGCAUAUUUGGAAUGUUACCGUACAAAUAUUUUGUUAAUGCCAAAAUAUAAGCAAGUUUUGGCACUACCAAAUAUUUGGUAAGGUAAAAUUGCAUUUGAUCAUAUUUGGUUUGCUGCCAAAAUGUAAAAUUGUAGUGAAGAAUGUUGUACAUAAUCUCAAUUCUAGAUUACGUAUUACCAAUUAAUAGGCUUCCAUUUUCGUGUGUGGUGUGGUAGUGGGAAAGAAGAUAUGAAGAGGUUGCCUUCAGAUUGUCAAUUAUAUAGCGUCGUUUUCACUGCAAUAUAUGUGAACUCAAUGAGAUACAUUAUUCAUUAGAUGUGACAAGACGAUCACGCGUGGGCGUGAUUCACUUUAUGUCAACAGGCAGCGCCGAAAGUUGAUAGUGAUAACUCGAGCUGCCGCUUUUCAUGUGUGCUGUUGUGGACUGUGCGCGCUACUGGAUAUGGCACUACCGUGAAGCGCCGAAAGUGUGUUGUUGUGAGCAUAAGUUGUUCAAGCACCAUACGAAUGAAAAGAACUACGUAGACGAGACAAACACAAGUAGUACUGCAGUAGUAAUAGCAAAAGUAGUACUGCUUUACAAGUUUGUAAGCCAAAAGAAACGGUCACAUAAGGACUGAAGAGGUAGAACACUACUGACGAGGCCUCUUACCCCUGUCCCUCCUACCCUGCGCCCUAAUGUGCCCCUGGGAGUACGUGAGUCGGUCCGGGGGUACGGCACGGCCAACCCGUCCUGCCUGUACAGGUGUGACCUCUGGCUGCUCCUGAGUGUGCGCCUCUGGAGCUCCUCCAAGCUGAGAGGAGCCUAGUACGUCCUGGUGGUCUGCACCGUGCAAGUCGUCGUCGUAGAACUGGCUAGUAGGACCAGUCCUACCGGCGUGAGACGAAGAGGCCCCAGUACCGAAGAUCCCGGCUGCAAAUCCUGCUGGACAAGGACCAUCAGUUUCGUAUAGGUAUUUAACAGUAUUAAUAAAAAGUAAAGUACCGUGUGGGCGAGGGAUCGACGCUCCGUGAGAGGAAGAGCUGGCGAACGCGCCUGAAGAGGUGGCGAACGCCCCUGCGGAGCUCGCGGAAGCGCCGGUCGUGCCUGCGAACGCGCUCGAAGGCAUACGAGGUCCUGCGAUGAGGAAACGUGCAGUUAAAACAUGGUGACACAUUCGUGCAAAAGCUGAAACAAAAAUGAACUAAUAUCUGGGCUGAACUGUACCGUGCGAAACCGGUGCUGUAGGUCGCACUGCUCCGAAGCUAGGGGCGCUCGAAGACAAACGAGGUCCUGCUCCGACGAUAGGACCGCGAGGCCGUGGGUGUACCGGACCAGCUGGAGGUACGACGUCCACGGCGCUGCGACAGGAGAAGACGCGCAUGACCGCACGCAUCUUCUCCUGCAUCCGGUCGAAGGUCGACCUCUGCUCAACGUCAGUCAAGUGCAAACCUCUGUUCAACCUCACCUGGACUGCGGUGAUAUCGGCACUGAUAUCCCGUGCCGCAUCAGCCUAUGCAAGAUGGAAAUAAAAAAUUCAGUAGUUGUCCUAUAUUAUGCAAGAUAAAUGACAUAAUUGUUGGAAGUAAUACAAAUUGGACGUACCGCCACGAAGUAGUCUCGGUCACGGUGCGUGGGAUACGCGUCCGUGACAGCGGCAACGUGCGGCUCUGGGGCGUCUGGAGUGAAGGUCACACGCGCACGAGUGCGAGGAAGGUACCAGCGAAGGUCACACUUGCUGCAGCGUAAAGUCCUCCCACCUGCUUCUGACUCAUCCAUAUCAUUUCUGAUGCGUCUAGUUUGGCGUCGACCCUUUUUCACCCUAAACUUAGAUGGAUCUGGAAUAUAAAAAACUUGGGCACUCAGCGUUGUGUAAGAUCCUGAGAUCCCGAACCCAUAUAUCUCCUCACUCCAUGUAUGAAAGAUUGCUUCUUUCCUGAAAUAAUUUGAGACGUACACAUUGGGAGAUAUGCCACAAUCACCGGCAGCAGCAAGAACGUGUGAGCAAGGAAGGUGAUGAAGCUUCGGCUUCAUACAACUGCAGGUACAUCCACCAUCCGCCUUCAAGACACAUUCCUGCACGGCUUGCUUGCGAUAGAUACCACGCCUGCUCCUAUCAACACACAUUAUUUCAUACCGAUGCACUUGUGUGCCUUGAGCAACAACUCUAUGUCUCCGUGCCUUUUUGAUUUUAUCUUCCAUGUACUUUGUCACUACGUUGCCAAACACUAUGUUGUUAUCGGCCAUGGACGGACCAAUUUUCUUGUAUCGAUCCCUAAAGUAGGCUUGCGUGCCGUGAAGGAUGAAUUCAACAAUAGCAACCAAUGGAAGUACCCGAACUCCUCGCAUUACCCAGUUGUACACCUCUGCCAAAUUGGUUGUCAUUAUGCCAUACCGAGAUCCAUCGGUGUCGAACAAUAGAGCCCACUUCUCCUUAGGCUCAUUCUCAAUCCACUGAGAGAAAUUUCUGAUGGCCGACCCUGACCUCCUUCUCAUUGUUGGUGGGUCAUCAUGUAAUGCACCAAGAGGUAUGGGAGGCUCGUCACCUUCAACUUGUGGUCUGCGAGAUUGCUCAUCUGUUUGCUUCGUUGUCAACUCAUCCAACUUGUCCCACAACUCAUUAAAUUUCUUCUCUUGGUUCUGUGCACAGAGCCUCUUAAAGAGCUCCAUAAGAUGCUUGUUCUUGAAUUGCUUGUAGAAAUUUGCACCCAUGUGACGCAUGCACCACCGACUCCGAACAUCAGGCCACUUAGCUGGAAGUCCCUUCUCAUCCCAACCGUUCUGCAAGUAGUCAAUAGCCCGCAACAUACCCGCAUGACGAUCAUGUAUAAGGCAAACGUUGGGCCUCAUACGCACCACUGCAAUGUGCACUCUCUCUAGGAACCAGUACCAGCUUUCAGUGUUCUCACUCUCUACAAAUGCAAAAGCCAUAGGUAGAACCUGGUUGUUCCUAUCACACCCAAUUGCUGUCAAUAUCUGACCUCGGUAUUUACCUGUCAUAAAAGUUCCAUCUAUGCAUAGAACAGGUCGACAAUGCACAAAAGCAUUGAUGCAAGCACCCAAUGAGAAAAAGGCUCUUUGCAGCACACUCUUUUGUUCUAUCUUCAACCGAUGUAAAUGUAUGUAGGUCAUAGUAAGUAUUAUUAUUCCUCUGGGCAAUGGUGGCUAACAAACGAGGCAAAUUAUCAUAAGAAGCUUCAAAUGUGCCAUACCUCAUCUCAAUGAUCUUUUGUUUGGCUCUCCAGGCCUUUGCAUAGCUUAUGGUGUACUUGAAUUUGUUCUCGAUGUGCCUAAUAAUUGAUUUUGGUUCAAAGCCAAUGUUACCAACAACACUGCUGUACAUCUCACUUGCCACAAAAGCUGAAGUGAUGUUUCGGUGAUACUUCUCCACCCCUUGUAAGUAGCACUUGUGCUCGGUCACAAUGCUAACUUUCCAAUAAUCAUUCCAUUUACCCUUAUAUGCAUGGACACGCCACGGACAAUCUUCCUUCAUGCACCUCACUUCAUACACAUAAUUUGUUGACUUGACCACCCUAAACUCUCUCUGCAAUGAAACUGCCCAAUGCUUCACCGCCUCCUUCAUCUCAUCCUUAUGAGCAUACCUUGCACCCUCAAUUACCUCGUACUCCUUAUACUCCCAGGGUACAUGAUCACCCUCUGAUAUAACAAGACCAGAGAAGUCCUCAUUUGCCCAAUCAGUGGCCAUUACAUCACCUUCCUCAUCGGAUGAUGCGUCGUCCUCCGCUUGCUCAUUAUCCGAAUCUUCCCUCUCCAUUUCAUCAACAAUUAUACCGACUCUCUCCCCCUCAUCCGCCAUGCCCAUGGCCUGCUCCUCCCUUGGUUGAUUUUCCUCAUUUUGCAUCGAUGGUCCAACAACAUCCCCUGCAUUGCUAGGACCCUCCACAUCUUCGGUUUGCAUUGAAACAUUUGUAUCUUUCUCUUGUACCGACACAAAUAUAACGAGGGGCCAUGACCGUUCAAAAGCCAUUUCCACAUACCGUCUCCAAGCAGCAGUGCUGUCCAUCGGCAUUAGUUCCCAAAAAUAACCUUCUAUUGCACGACUCACUACAACAGAUACUGACAUUGUGUAGACUUCUUGGUCUAUUCUAAAUCCUCUCAACAACCAACUAUAAAUUGACUGAAAUGUUCUCUCCGCAGGCCUAUCGAUGCCCUUAGAUGUCAUUACAAAAUCUGACAGAUCAACACCAUCUGGACCAAAUCUAAUAUUUCCUUCACCGUGAACUAUCUGAAAUGUGACCUUACUUGACAUUGUGCCUGAUGAAAACAAUAACUGCGUUAACCUCGCAUUUCUGUACUACGCCCUAAGUUACAUUCUCUACAAUAUUGUUCUCUAAAUUUCUAAAAGUAGGUUACAUUCUCCAGAUCAAACUAAACUACAUCUUACAAUUAACACUACUGUCUAUGUCUCAAUUCAUACUAUUAUAUUCUAUGCUCUGGAUCUACACAUAUGUGCUGUGUGCUACAGAUCUGCUAAAAUAUAUGGAACUAAAACUAAAACGCAACAUAUGUACUCAAACGUAAUAUAUUAGUACAAAUGCAAAAGAUGUAUGGGAGCAUACCUGUGAUGAAGUGAGCGAACCAGCAGGGCUUCGCCGCUCCCCUUCUGCUGCCCUCCCCUCUCUCUCUCUUUCGUUUUUUUUGGAUUUUUAGUGAAUAUAAUGAAAUUUCAUAGGGGAGGGGCUGGGCUUUAUAGGGGGGAGGCAAAAAUCGCCCUCCCCCAGGGCGGCAAGGGGGCCGCCUGCAAAAUUCCAUGCCCCCUCGCCGCCCAUUUGCAGGCGGGCCCCCGCACAGUGCAAAAUCGCCCUCGCGGAGGGCGGCAAGGGGGCCGCCUGCAAAUUUCCAUGCCCCCCCUCGCCGCCCAUUUGCAGGCGGCCCCCCCGCACAGUACAAAAUCGCCCUCGCGGAGGCGGCAAGGGGGCCGCCUGCAAAUUUCGUUGACGGCCGUCGCCCGAGAGCGAACGGCCGUCUGCCACGUCAUUUUCGCCGCCCUCUGGAGGGCGAUUUUUAAAAAUCGCCCUCCCAGAGGGCGGUAGGCGACUAUUUCCGUCAAUUUUCAAAAUGGAAAAUUAUUUUUGUAAAACUUUUAAUAAGAAAAAUUAUAAAUAAAAAAAAUUCUUCCAAUGACGGGUUGGUAGUCUCUUAUAUAUAUUUUUUUUUCGCCAGGACAGCGGCAAAGGAAACGCCUGACCAAUUAUAUUAAGAAAAAUAAGAAGAUUUACAUAAAACAACCAGCAUGGUUGUUGUGGACACAAACAGGGUUUCCCAAACUGCCGGGGCCGGGGUUACCGCACCCCGACGGUAAGCACGGUUAUCGUGCGGUAACCACGUUAACCGUGAAAAACCGUACAAAAUUUAUCAAAAAUUCAAAUUAUUUUUUAAAUUUAUUUGAAUUUAAGGAGGUUACCGCAGUAUUUAUAUUACCGUACCCCCACGGUAAGCCCGGUAACUGGCGGUAAGGUAAACCCUUUACAUAACCCAACCCUAGAAUAGGAAAAGGUUUUUUACCGGUAAACGCCUAAUUACAUGACACAACUAGGAUAACAUAUGUCUUAUCUCUCUUCGUUCGUGAUGCCUCCAAAGCCAGCAGCUCAAUGUUAUUUACAAAUGUAUUUUUUUUACUCGGCCUUUACAUCCAAUCGACUAUAUAAAGCUAUUUAAAUUGAGAAUUUAGUCUCGCAAAUAAUCCAAUUUAAAAUUCGCUCCUAACAUGAUACCUCCAAAGCCAGCAGCUCGUCAUGGCCACCAUUCUUCCGAUAUGCACUGGAAGACCUCGAUGGCGAUCUUACUGGCUCCUUCGAAGAUCCCGGUGUUUCUGUCGCGAAUUAAAUCAUCCAAGUAAUCAAGAUAGUUUGUACGUCUAAGAUUUUCUACUGUGAUGUUUUGUAUGGCAGCCUGAGAAGAGUGCCACCAAGUUUCCAUGUCAGUUGACAUAUCCGGGCUCCGAAUGAAAUGUAAUCGGGUGCAGAUCCUAUCCCACACUUGUCUUGUGAAAGCACAGGCCAUGAAGAGGUGAUGGCAAGUCGUUGGCUAAACACCACAAAGAGAACAGACUUGUUCUUGAGGCCAACCUCGCCGUGCCAAAUUCUCCGCCGUCAAACAGCUCCUGCCGUCCCGCGUAGUACAAGAUACUCCUCCUUAAAAAAAAAAUAUAUGACUCCGUUAAUUUUUCGCAUAACGUUUGAUAUGUUCUAUUAUCAAAGAAAAUAUAGUAUUAACUUAUAGUUUCAUAUAUUUAUAUUAAAUUUUUAAAUAAGACGAAUGAUCAAACAUUAUGAGAAAUAUCAAUAACAAUAUACUAAAUUUUUGAAUAAGAUAAAUGAUCAAAUAUUAUGAAAAAAAACAAUUAUGCCAUUCAUUUUGAAAGGAGAUGUUACAUAAAGAACUUUCAUUUCACUUCUUAGGUACCUUGACCUUCCAAAGGAAAAUUAGCACCGAUGGAGAGAGUUUUAUCAAUGAAAAACAUUGGUAGUCUCUAUGAGAGUAUGAUCAUUGUUUUUAAUUAUUUAUUUGUAAUAGUAUAAUAUGUGAAUAUGUUUUCAUGAUAAAUCUACUAAUACCAUUUUCACAUAUCAAAUAUUUUUUGGUUGCAUUUUACUAGCACUAGGUUCACAUUUUGAAUUUUGUCUCAAUUUUUUUUUCGAAAUUUGACCACACUCAUUCUAAAACACUAUUCAAGUAUAAGCAUUUCUUGCCUUCCAAAUUUAUACACGGCCAUUUGCCCUAUACUACACUACUACCAAACACCUCUCGUUUAAUUAUUAUCCAAUUUUACCCUCACCAUCCUCCUACAUCUAAUUACAUCAUAUUUAAAACUAAAAGGGAUAUAUCACAGUUUUCUUUUCAUAAAUUUAGCCUCCACUAAACAACAUUCCGCAACAGAUCAGGGAAUACUUUUGGUUUGACAACACGACGAGUAAGAAAUUACCACGGCACCACUACGACGACGCAUCCCACUGUACCACUCGAGGACCGACCAGACCAUCUUGCGUGCGGAUUUCUCACCUCCCUGCAGACUGCAGUGAAGGACAAGAUCUUCACGGCUGCAGAGCGGGUACCACCCAAAUCACAGGAACCGUACAUCUGCCUCAUAUCAGUUACCCAUAGCAUAGCUUAUUAAGAAAUACAAAUUAAUUUAUUGUUAAAAUUGUUGUAUAUUUUUUUUCCGUAGUAACUUAAAAGCCGAUAUUAAAAAUAUCUUAAAAUUAACUUUAAAAAAAUUAAAUUUUAGUUUUAACUUUAGUUUAUUAGGUCAACCAAUAGGGCGAUCGACCAAAAAAGAGAAGCCACUCUGCUCUGGCAUUUUGCCUGCUGGAUCGUCGCUCCCGGCCAUAACGGGCAAACGGACAGGGCUUACUACAAAAGCAUUUCAAUUUUGAAGCGAGGGAAGCAAGCAAGCAAAAGGAUGGCACUCAUCCCGUCCACUCAGAUUCAAUCCAUGCAUGACACCGUCGUAGCUUUCAAAUAUGAGCUCGCGGUUACCUAGUUAAUUAAAAUCAACUUGUAUUAAUGUUGACGCCCUUCGAUCAUUUAGCAUAUACGUACUAUACAUGUAUCUAAGAUAGGUAAGGUACAACAUAUACUGUGCAUAACCAGUGGCGGAGACAGGAUAAAGUUAUAGCGGGGGCUAAACUAAAAUGACCAAGAACAACUAAGAGAGAUUUAGGGUUGGGUUAGGAUUUUUUAGCCUUUUUAGUCUUUUGGGCCUUCUAACAACCUCAAACAAAGUCUAUAUUAGCCCCUCAUCUAUAAAUAUAUGGAUUAGAAUUUUAGAGGGUAGGGGGGUUUCAAGACCCCCCGCCCCCACGCUGUCUCUGCCCCUGUGCACAACGCUUUGGAGAAGUUGCAACAUGCACAAAACCCAUUGAAGUUUGGUUUCAUGGUAUGAAGUAUGCCUGUUCAAAUAUGGCUUGUUUUUGGUUGCAAUGAUGAUGAAGUUACUAAGGCUGGGUUUAGUAAUCUCUCUUUCCAUCUUCCACUCACCAGUCUUUCAUAAGCACACUUUUACUAAAUUACUAAACGAUGUAUUUUUAAUAUAAAAAUUAUAUAGGAAAGUUGUUUUUAAAAAAUUAUAUUAAAAUUUUUAAGUUUCUAUAGCUAAUAUUUAAUUAAUCAUGCGCUAAUGUGUCACCUGUUUUCCGUGUUAGUGAGAAAAGGUUCCAAAACCUUUAGAUUCUAACGCAUCCUAAGGGUUUCAAUGGUGCAAAAGAAAAGACCUCCUACAACAUAUGUAACAAGAUCAUCCAAAGGGUUGAGUCUUCUUAGCUACUCCCUCCGUCCCAAUAUACUACAACCUACCCAUAUAAAACAAAUAAUAGCCAAAUAUAAUUAAUAGCCAAAUAUACCUAAUUAAAUCUGAUAUAUAUUUGCUAGAUUAUUUCUAUAAGAAAGUGUUUGCUAGAAAUUUGCUAAAAUCGACAAAUAAAGGCAAGUGCGGCGGCCUCGCGCUGAAGGUGCUUGGAUGGUGAUGCCUGCUAUUAAUGGUAGGGACGUAAUCAUAAUAGUGGGCCGACGAUUUCAAGCGAAAACCCAGUCUUUUUGAGGAGCGGCAGUCCCGAUGCUUUUGGGCGGCGUAGUCCCCCCCUCCCACCCCCUCCCGGGGGUGGGGGCUUUCGUGGUAUCUCUCAUUCUUUCUCUAGUGGAAUCCUUCAGGUGAAAAAUCACAUCCUAGUUUCCUAAUGGUGAGCGACGACGGCAUCAUCUGCGUCUCUCGUUCUCUUCAUGGUGGAAUUCUUUGGUCGAAAACCACAUCCUAAUUUUCCAAAAGAGGUGACGACAGUGUCACAACCUUCGUGGAGGCGUUGUUUGAAGGUUCGUUUCUAUCAAACUCUUCUCCAAAUGGAUUGUUCUCUUAGGACGACACCAUAGCCAUCACAAGAAAACCAUGCUGGUGGGAGAUCAGAUCUAUUCUUAUCUUUCACCAUAUCCCCCUCCACCCAAAGGCAUGAAUGGAUUUUCAUUAGCAGUGGGUGCUUGUGUUGUAGGUGCAUGUGCAACAUAGUUUGUUACUUUUGUUUUUCUUGAUUAUACCCUACCAGUGCUUUGGUCUUUUUUUCUCACUAUAUUGAUAUGAAACCUCGUACUAUCACACGUGAAUUGUUUUAGAAAAAGGUAACUACAAUACAAUAAUAUCUUUGUUUUCAAGACUACUCCAUUAUUGUAGUUUCAAAUUUAAUCACACAAAGUUUACAUACAUAAAACAUAUCAAAACACAAUAAUGAAAUUUUGGAGGGUUCGAAUCAUGAGGUAAAAUUUCUAUUAGGUCCGCCAGGAUGAAUCGUAUAUAUUAUAAGUAAGAGAUACGAUAGAAAUAUGUUAGAUCAAUAUAUGAAAGGCACGUUAGUAACAUUGUACCAAUCUUGUUUCGAACACAUUUGAAAUAUAGCAUAGGAAAUAUUUCGUUCUGGUCAAAUCCUGUAGUUGUAGUUCUUAAACACAAGUUACGUCAUGAGUACAGCCAUAUCAACCACCCAUAUCAAUAAAUCCAACUAAUACUAUAAAUGCCAUAAAAAUGCAAUUAAAUAUGCAUAAGAUGAAUCUAUAUCUCAAUUACUCAAUACUAGAAUCAGACUAGCAUUAAAUGACCAUAUUAACCAUAUCAAAUCUGGUGGAUACAAAUUCAAUAAAUAGAGUAAUAUCACGAGCAAAUCCUCAAUAAAUGAUAUCAAAGCUCUAACACAUUUAUACAUUUAAAACCCUCGUAUCUCAAUUACUCAAAAUUGCAAUCGAAUUUAAUAGGCGCAUUCACACAGGUAGAAAAUCAUCUGUCCACAUUUGCAUCAUCACACUUCGAAAUCACAAAACCCCCAACCCAACCCACAACCACCCCAUCUCACUGACCUGCGGGCCCCAUGAGCCAGACAGAGCCACUUACAGCUGGGCCCCACCAUCCCCUCCCCUCCCGCUUGAGCCUAUCCUACCCAGUGCUACAGCCGACGGAAGCCGCCACUCUCUCCGCCUAUUUAAUCCCCACUCCUCGCCGCCUCCGAGCUCCACCGCCACCGCCACCUCCUCCUCGCCGCCGGCCAGCCACCGCCGCCGCCGCAUUCCGCGCCUAGCGUGUUCUCGCUUCUUCGUGGUCUCAGCAUUUGCCCCGAGAAUGGCGGCGGCGGGGGCGGUGUUGCCGGAGCAGAUCGCGGCGAUGUGGGAGCAGGUGAAGGCGCCGGUGGUGGUGCCGCUGCUGCGGCUGUCCGUGGCGGCGUGCCUCGCCAUGUCCGUGAUGCUGUUCGUGGAGAAGGUGUACAUGUCGGUGGUCCUCGUCGGCGUCCACCUGUUCGGCCGCCGCCCCGACCGCCGCUACCGGUGCGACCCCAUCGUCGCCGCCGGCGCCGACAAUGACGACCCCGAGCUCGCCGACGCCAACGCCGCCUUCCCCAUGGUCCUCAUCCAGAUCCCCAUGUACAACGAGCGCGAGGUAACCAAAAUUAUUCAAAUCAAUCCGCCAUGCAUGCAAUGCAAACUCAAAUAAAAAAACCAAAAAAAAAGGAAAAAAAAAGGGCACUAAAAAGUUUUUUGGGUUUAUUUUUUGUUUUUUUUUUGGGGUGGCAGGUGUACAAGCUGUCGAUCGGGGCAGCGUGCGGGCUAUCGUGGCCGUCGGAUCGGGUGAUCGUGCAGGUGCUCGACGACUCCACUGACCCCGUCAUCAAGGUGAGAGCCAGCGUUUUUUUUUCCUUUUUCACUUCAUUUAAUUACAGCGCUAUCUGUCCCCGCGUGUCAGUGACACACCAGUGGCGUUGGUCUGGUCCAAGGAGUGAAAUUAAUUGCGGCUGUCUGUCACUGACAGUCGCCGCUGCGUGGUGGGGCCACACCAUGCCGGCAUGAGGCGCGUCGUAUUCUUCAAAAUUUUUUCAUCGCUAAGAGCUUUCAAACUUUUUUCAUCACGAGAGCUUUCGAAUUUUUCACACGGGGAAAAACGUAUUGUAGGUACAAACAAAUUAGAGGCCAUGUCUCUGUUGUCGUAGUCGCAAGAACAAGCGAGUCUACUUUCACUGAGGAAUUUUUGGCUGGCUGUAUUAUUUUAACCCCGAGAAAAAACUUGGAUUUUUUUUUGAGGAAAAUAUUGGAAGUGUUCUUCUUUUCUUGGCCUAGCUAGGGACAGGGAGGGAGUGACGUGAUGCAUCAUGCAGCGAAUUUAUAUUUUUCUGGUACUAGUACUCCAUUUUACACGAAAGUUCAUGGGCAACUCGACUGGCUAGCUCCUUGUCCCACCGCACGACUCCCGAGGUGGAACAAUCUGAACCAUACCGCAUUUAACUAGCAAUCGUUACCAGAAUGGUUUACUGUAGUAGUAAUUAACUAGCAGUAAAAAUAACUGGUGGCAAAAGAAGAGUCAGGAUUAAAUUUAGUUAAAAGCCACUUAAUUAUAGAGCUUGCUAACAAUGAGACGAUGAGUGCAACUGCAGGAGAUGGUGCAGGUGGAGUGCAAGAGGUGGGAGAGCAAGGGGGUGAGGAUAAAGUACGAGAUCAGGGACAACAGGGUGGGGUACAAGGCCGGGGCACUGAGGGAAGGCAUGAAGCACGGCUACGUCCGCGACUGCGACUACGUGGCCAUCUUCGACGCCGACUUCCAGCCCGACCCCGACUUCCUCGCCCGCACCAUCCCCUUCCUCGUCCACAACCCCGACAUCGCCCUCGUCCAGGCCCGCUGGAAGUUCGGUGAGUCAGAAGUCGUAGUUUUUUAGAUAAUAGAUUAAAACCCGACCUCUACAUCCACACACAACCAGAAGUCCAUAGAUGAGUCCAAGUCACAUUUUUUUAAAAAAAAACACAAAGUGGCUAUUGGUAAAACGAUUUUAGUUUUUGAAUGGUUGCCUUGGCUCUCGUGUUAAUGGAUUUGUCUUUGUCAGAAGAAUUGAGUGGUUGGUUAGGUUUCUGAAUGGUGGUAAGCAGAUAUAGGAACAGCAUAAAAAUGGCAGUUCAAAAGGGCCCGGAUAAAGCACAUGCACCUAGGAGUACACACAUACUCCUAUAAUCAACAGUGAGUGCAGCAGAUAGGAGUAUGUUUUAGGAAAUGAGUGCACUGCAUUAGUUUAGUGUUCACGGCAGUUAUAGUAGUUGGAGAUAAGGUUAGUUGUUGAAGCCAAAGCAUGGGAGCAGUACACUUGGAAGCUGGACCUUGGUUUGUGAUUUGGGGGAUCAUGUGCACCUGUGACUUGUAACUGUAGUCCUUUGGACCAUGACAUUGACAUGUGCGUUGUUCUGAAAAAGCUGGAGUAGUAUAGUUAAAUCUUCUGCAUCACUAUUGGAUAAGGCCGAGUAAAAAUUGUCAGUAUGGUUGACUGAAUUGUUUGACUUAUCUUUGGCAUUGAUGAUAUAAUGCCCUUUUUUAACUAUAAUAUGAUAUAAUGUCCUUUUUUUUAACUAUACUAUGAUAUAAUGUCCUUUUUAAACUAUACUAGUGUAGCACACUGGCCUUGUUUUGGACUUUUUUCUUUUGGCAUGGUGAUGACAUGUUUGUUGCUGCUGACGGUGGUGAUGGCGUGUGAGCAGUGAAUGCAAAUGAAUGCCUGAUGACAAGGAUGCAGGAGAUGUCCUUGGAUUACCACUUCAAAGUAGAGCAAGAAGUGGGUUCCUCCACACACGCCUUCUUUGGCUUCAAUGGUAAAACUUGAUCUCAAUUCAUCUUGUCUUUUUUCUUCUCUCUUGUGGGGCAUUAUGUGUAUCCAUUUCUCAGUUCCAUGAUUCUGCCUCUCCUUCUGUAGAGUACAUAUGUUUAUUUUACUUAAUAAUGAGAAACUGUUUCGUAAUCUUUGGAAAGAAAAAGACAUGUUAACCACAUCUAAAAAUCAUAUGCAAUUGCAUCAUUCUAGUUUAUUCCUUAAAAAGUACAAUACCCAGUUAGAUCUUACACAAAGCAGAAGGAAAGAGUAGUGCAAGAAUAUAACACAUGCACAAGAUUUUCAAUGUUGAGAACUUAUUUUCUCUAGUAAAAGUCAUAUUUAGCAGCAUAUUUUGUUUUACCCUGCAAAAUGUUAUGUGAAUAGGGACUGCUGGUGUGUGGCGCAUAUCUGCGAUGAACGAGGCAGGAGGCUGGAAGGACAGGACAACAGUUGAAGACAUGGAUUUGGCAGUCAGAGCAGGCCUCAAGGGAUGGAAGUUUGUCUACCUUGGUGAUCUCAUGGUAAAUAUGCACUAGUAGCCUAACAAUUCAUGCAAUAUCCAAUGCAUCAAUUUGCGCUUCUAUAUAUUACAUUGUUAUUAAGCUAUAUAAGGAAGGAUGUAACUAACCUGGUAAUGUUGUUUGAAGGUGAAAAGUGAACUUCCAAGUACAUUCAAAGCAUUCCGGUAUCAACAACACAGAUGGUCCUGCGGACCGGCAAACCUGUUCAGGAAAAUGUUGGUGGAGAUUGCCACAAACAAGGUCCCUUGCACCAAGCUAUAUUAUGGAAAUAUUUUAUAAGUUAUAACACACAUGCAUCUUGUUGCUAACAAGCCAUUGAUCUUGAUGCAGAAAGUGACAUUGUGGAAGAAGAUCUAUGUGAUCUACAACUUCUUUUUGGUGCGCAAGAUUAUUGGACACAUUGUGACCUUUGUGUUUUACUGCCUUGUUGUCCCGGCAACGGUUUUAAUUCCAGAAGUUGAGAUACCAAGGUGGGGUUACGUCUAUUUGCCAUCCAUCGUCACCAUUCUCAAUUCUAUUGGGACUCCAAGGUGCCAAAUCUUCUCCAUAGCUUUGCAGUUUUACUUUCAGAAUAUGAAUCCAACCUACAGUACCCAACCUACAGUUUUACUUCCAGAGCUUUGCAGUUCUGAGCAACCUAAAAAUUUACAUGAAAAUAUGCAAUGAUGCAGGUCAUUGCACUUACUUAUCUUUUGGGUCCUCUUCGAGAAUGUUAUGUCACUGCAUAGAACAAAGGCCACGCUGAUCGGCCUGUUAGAGACAGGCAGGGUGAAUGAAUGGGUGGUGACCGAAAAGCUUGGCGAUGCUCUGAAAUUAAAAUUGCCAGGUAAAGCAUUCAGGAGGCCGCGCAUGAGGAUAGGAGACAGGUACGCAGUCGAAACAUUUUAGUCCUGCAUUUUCCAAGUUCCAAUCCUUGCAGCUAAACUUUGAUCUUGAACCAGGGUGAAUGCAUUGGAGCUUGGUUUUUCAGCCUACCUGUCCUUCUGUGGAUGCUAUGAUAUUGCCUAUGGGAAGGGCUAUUACAGUCUCUUCCUUUUUCUCCAAUCCAUCACCUUUUUCAUCAUCGGUGUGGGCUAUGUGGGGACAAUUGUCCCGCACUGAUUACAGAACCUCGAUGAGGCUAUCCAUCUUGGAUCAACGACCGGCUCUGGUUCUUUCCAGUCUCAUGGUGUUAGGUAUGCAACAAGAUGACAGAUCAAGCAGGCUUCUCCUGUGUGCAAGUGCAAAGUUUCCUGACAACAAUGAAGUGUAAAAGCACUGCAAAACAAGCAAUAGAUAAGGCUUUUAGCUGCUAGGAAUAUGCUGUUAUGUGCAUUACAAUUGUGAUGAUCUAGCAGUCUGUUCAGAGUCUCUGUGUCACCUUAGCAGAAUCUGUAGUGGGAAAGAUAGGAGUUGUUAAAAGCUUUAUAUUUUCUGCAAACAGGAAAAAAAUUGGAGUUUUUGGUUUUAGCAUGUAGCUUUAGUUCUGGGAACAGGAAGAAAAAAUAAUAUGUAUUGGUUCCUCAAUAUGCUCACCUGGUACAAAAGAGAGGCUGUACAUCUUUGCUUUAACUUUUCUUUCUCCUAAUGUUCAAGUGUAAUCUGGGAAUAUCCAUUUGAGAUACAGUAUUUUGAGGAGAAACAGAGAUACUGACACAGAAGCUGACCUCUACUGUUCCAUCUCUUGUCUCAGACUCUCUUUGAGUUCACCAGUCACCACACUGAUGAUUCUGUCAUGUGUUUCAUUCAGAAACUUCCUCUUCACAUGGUACAAUCAGUACUGUCUGUCUGCCUGUCUGUAUUUCUGUCUCCUGGCAAUCCGCAUACUGACAUUUGAUUCUUACUGAACUGCUGACAUUCGAGGAUCUGCAUGUGACUCGAGAACAGUGAGGAUUUGUUUCAUGGCUCUGCAAGUCUGCAAGGAUCCAAACCACAGACUAGGACCAGAUGUCAUUCAAAGUGUUCUGAAUCUCAAUAACAUGAACAGGUGAUGUGAUCUUGUGUUACAUAAUGCUAGUAUUCUGGAAGCAAGGUCGUGAUCAGUGACUGGGAUAGAGCAAAAGGGUAAAUACAUUACAAUGGUGUACUUUCAUGUCGUUUGCUCCGGACCUUCUCCCAUAUGUUUAUCUUGGCGCCAAUUUUCUCAUGCAUCAGAUUUCUCCAAGAUGCAACUUUUGUAGUUGCAGCCCGAACCCGGCUAAUAACAGAUCAAAAUUGCAGUGGGUCUAGAACAAGGGCACAACAGUUCUCAAGUUGCAAAAAAUCUACAGGCCCUGUGAUCUCUUUGAACCCUCUUUGAAAGAGGAUGCAAAAUUUGCAAAUGUUCAUGAAAUUGAGCGAGUGACAACUGACAACUGACAAUCGAUCAUUUAGCAGGCUUGUUGCUUCAUAGAAGCAACAUCUCAAAUGAUGAAAAUGCAAUGCCACUUCACAUCACCAAUCAGCUCAGCUGCAAUGGCUGGCAUCAUCUCCAUCCAUAACCGGAGGCACGGACUGCUCGGCGACGGCGGCGGCCAACGCGUUGCAGGCCGCGUAUAUCGCCGAGCGCUCGUCGUGGUACGAGUCGCCGGCGAGGAAGGUGUGCCUUUUGCCCCGGACCUCGACGGCGCUCCAGGCCGGAUCCUUCUUGAUUCCCAGCGACCGCAUCGCCUCGUGCGCGCCGGCGACGCUGCCCCACAUCUCGCGCGCGGCGUACGCGUUCGCCAGGACGACGUACUUGCCGGCGUUCCCCGGCUGCAGCCGGAAGAAGCGGCGCGCGGCGAGCUCGACCAGCCUCACGUCGCCGUGCUUCCUGCCGGCGCCGAGCAGCGCGCCCCAGACCACCGAGUGCUCCUGGCAGUCCGGCAGGUUCUUGACGAGCUCGUAGGCGUCGCCGAGCCGGCCGACCCUGGCGAGCAUGUCGACCGCCGCCGCGUAGUGCUCGCCCCUCGGCGUGAGGCCGUAGCCCGACGACAUGGACGAGAGGUGGCGCAGACCCUCGCCGACGAGCCCGGCGUGCGCGCACGCCGAGAGCACGGCGAGGAACGUGACGUCGUUCGGCCGGAGCCCGUCCACCCGCGUCAUCCGGUCGAACAGCGCCAGCGCCUCCGCGGCGCGCCCGUGCUGGCCGUGCCCGGAGAUGACGGCGGUCCACAUGGUGACGUUCCGCGCCGGCGCCGCCGCGAACGCCCGGCGCGCCUCCUCGGGGCUGCUGCACUUGAGGUACAUGUCGACGAGCGCGCUGUCGACGAAGACGUUGCCGCCGCCGACGCGCGACUUGACCAUGACGCCGUGCACGCGCCGGCCGUGCUCCAGCGCGGCCAGCCUCGCGCACGCGCAGAGCACCGACGCGAACGUGAACUGGUCCGGCCUCAUCCCCUCCGCCCGCAUCGACCCAAACAUCUCCACCGCCCGCGCCUCCGCGCCGCCGCGCGCGCACCCGGAUAUCAUGGCGUUCCACGCCACGACGCUCCUCUGCGGCAUUCCGUCGAACACCUUCCGCGCAACACCAAGCUCACCGAUCUUGACGUAAAAGAUCAGCAGCUUGGUGACGAUGUAGACGCCGCCGCCAAACCCCACCGACACCAUGCGCGCGUGGAUCCUCUUCCCCAUCCUCGCGUCCCGCCGGUUCACGCAUUCCUGCAGCAGAAGCGCGUAGGUCCCCUCACCGGGGCACACCGUACUCCGCCACAGGAGACCCACCGCCCUAGCGAGAUCGCCGGCGACGCACAGCGACCUCAGCAUUCGCGCCAAGCCAACGGAGCCCAUGAUCCAGCUGCCCAACUCUCUUCUAUCCGAAUUCGAGCUCGCUCUAAUGGCGUCGCAUCUCUGCGCCGCUCAGAUUAGUAGUGUAUACAAGAUGAAAUCCGAGACCUAGGAGAAAUCAGGCUACUACAUUUACAACAAAAACUCUCGGGUCAAUUACAAGAUCGAGGAUAUACAAGCGAAACUUCAUUUUUGUUUCGAUUCGUCUCCUGUUUUGUCUCUCUUCUUGUUCUUCUAUCUAUCUAUGGUGGUUUGAUUUUUUUUUUGUAUUAGACAUAGUAAAUCAUGCCGACCUCGAGGGUGGAGGCGUGAGGGAUGGUGACGGCGUAGUUGGGGCCGCGGCUGUUGCGGCGGAGGAAGUCGUAGCAGAAGUUGAUGACCAGCCGCCGGAAGAAGCUGGAGCCGCUCUUGGCCUUGACGUAGGAGUGGCCGAGGAUGAACGCCAUGCCGGCCUCGCGCGCGUCCAUCAGCUCCUGCAGCUCCUCCCGCACGCCGGCGUCCGGCCGCGGGCUCGCCGCCGGCAGCACGAACCGCACCCUCUUCCUCGGCGCCACCACCACCGGCGGCGGCGACGGCGACGGCGACAUGAUCUCCCUUGCGCCGCCGCCGCCGCGCGAGCUGCCUCUGCCGCUGCCGCUGCCGCUGCCGCCGACGGUGUCCUCCGACGACGGCGCCCCCGCGCCGCCGUCCUCCUCCAUCAUCCGAAUGCUGCCGGAGGGGAUGACGGACAUCCGCUCCUCCUCCUCUUUCUCCGACUCCUCCGCGCCGCCGCCGCAGACGUUCUUGGGCUUGGAAGAGGCCGCGGCGUCGGCCGCGGCGGCGGCGCCGGAGCGGAUGAACUCCGCGACGCUGCAGACGAGCUCCUUCUCGAACUCCUGAUCGUCCUUGUGCACGUCGUGGUAGCCGUACCUGACAAUGCACCGGUAGAUUCUGUACUCCUUGGGGCCAAUUCUUCCGACGAGGAACCUCUCCUCCGGCGAGACAUGCGGUAUCGGGACGUUCUUGAUGCAGAGGAAGAUGAGCACCUGAUCAUCAUCAAGAAGAAGAAGAUGAUGAGCACUGUAACCAAAAUUCUGAAUUUCUGAACAAUGACAACAACUUCAGAAGGCGAGGAAUGAUGGCUGAUGAGCAAGAUUACUUGAUGAAAUGCAGGUAGGUUGGUGACGAAAUGCGAGAAGAUUGCCGGGAUCCCAGAGUCGAGCUCGGUGUGGAUGAGGCCGAUGCCGCGGACUCGGACAAUGCCGAGGUUGGGGCUGAGGCCAAGGAGCCAGUUGAUGGAGACCUUGUUCUGGAGAUCGAACUCAUACUUCUUGAUGGUGCCAUAGUGCCAGAUGCACAUUAUCGCCAUGAAGAUGAAGGCCAGCACAAUUGGGACCCAGGCUCCUUCUCUGAACUUGAUGAGUGAUGCUGAGAAGUAGAGUGCCUCAAUGGUGCCGAAGAAGAUGAUGAAGCCGAAUGCGAGGAAGAUGCUCUUGUGCCAACACAGAACUAUCACCAGGGACAUCAGACAUGUCGUGACCAGCAUAACGGUUAUAACCGCCAAUCCUGUUCAAAGGACAACUAUUGCAUAUCAGACAAAUUCCUUACUCAUUAGCUUCAGUAUGCAUAGGUAAUUCGAACAUGGAAUAAUCAGGUGGUUUGAUAUGUCAAAAACUAAAACAAGUGGUACAUACCUGACGCAUUGCCCAGGUGUUUUGUGUCUCUGAAACCAAUGGUAAUAGCUAAGCACAGUAUCAUCAGGAUCCAAUUGAUCUCAGGGAUGUAAAUUUGCCCGUGUACUUUGUCAGAUGUGUGAACUAUCUUCACCCGAGGAAAGCAGCCGAGAGCGGUGCACUGCUUGAUCAUUGAGAAUGUGCCAGUGAUAACAGCUUGGCUCCCGACAACUGCUGCAAGAAUGGCAAUUGCCAGAACUGGCCACCUAAUUUUCUCUGAGGAUGGAAAACUUUUAAAUAUUAAUAAACAGUACUAGGAGAAUGAUAUAAUAUCGAUUUCGCUGUUGAUGAAAGAUCUGGAGAACAUGACUUGCCAGGCACAGACACAUAGAACCCGAUCCUGUAGUCACUUUCAAUGAUGUGAUGCUUACACAGAUAAGCAGCUUGCCCCAUGUAUGCAAGGAUCAAGGAUGGGUAAACCAUGCAAGUAAAAGCAAUCUGCAAUCAGGAAAUGCUUAUCAGAGACAAAACUAUUGACCGCAUGUCCGCAUAUUGCUACUAUGAUGAAACCAAGUAAAACAAAACAUUGAGAUUGCACUCUAUUUCAUCACCUGUAUCGACAGCUGAUUAAAAUGCCCCAGAUCUGCAAACAUUGCUUCAGAACCUGAAAAACAACACUCAAGUUAGUAAAGUUGUACACUUCAGAGAUCAUUGGCAUAUGGUAGAAAAUGGUUGUUGAUCAUAGUACCAGUGAUACAUAACAAUAUUCCUCCCAGUGACAUCCAACCUCCUCUCUGCGUCUUCUUCAAAAACUUGUACAUAUAAUAUGGAGAUAACGCUCGAUAGACAUUGGGCUCCCAAUGCACGAUAUUGUAAACACCAAUCAUGCUUAUACAUAGAAGCCAUGUAAUCACAAUUGGUGCAAAAAGGAACCCCACCCGGUGUGUACCAUAGUGUUGCAGACAAAACAGGCAAACCAGUACAAAACAAGCAAUAGGAACCUCCACAUCUGCAGAUUCAAAUCAGUAAAAAAAACUUUGCACAGUUAGUAAUGGGUUAAAAAAGAAACAAAACAUAUUAGCAAAACAAGAAUCAGAAUAAAAGCACAUGCUUAAAUGAUUAAAAGUCAAAAUAGAGUUUCUUUACUCCGCACUUCAGAAUUCAGCACUUAUUUUAUUACUUUCAGCAUGUGUAGCUUCCAUUUUCCAGAAUUUCCGAACCUUAUUACCACUAGCUGACCAUAUUUCUGCCCAGAGUGAACUCUAUCCUCUGCCAAAGCCCAAGAGAAUAUGAACUGAACAGAUACAGUAAUUUAGAUGAUGACCGGCUUAUUUAGGAAUCGCUCAAAUCUUUUCUUUCUGUUUCCCACUACAGUUCUUCACAAGAAUCACAACUGCUUGAGUAGGGUAGUUCCAUUUAUUGUAGUCAUCAAUGCUACUAGAUAAGAGUAUUAAUCUUCUCCAGUUCGUAGGCUAAUAGCAUUAUAGCAACAACUGUUAGGCAUACAUUGACUAACAACAGUACGGAGUUGAUUGUUGGUGUCCAUGCGACAACGCUGCGUUGCUCAUGGUCAUUCCCUGUCAAAGACCUUCCUAAAUGAAUUUGGCACGCAAUUGAUCAUCUGAUAUCUGAGCCGAUAAGCUCGCACGGAAACUUCCAAAAGUAUCAAUCCCAUUGAAGCAAACUGUUCAGACUUCAUCAGUUAACAUAAUUCCUGGUUUUACGAACACCAAAUUGCACAGAAUCCAUCUCUUGCGUGCAUCUUACAGGUAAAAUUUACUCGAAUUGUGGUGCACUAGUAUGACUGAAACUGCACACUUUUUUCAACUAAAAAAACAAGAAACUGCACCCUUUUGAGUUUGAGGUGGACCCUGAAUUAUCUAAAAAAACUCAGAACAUGAUGAUCCAGGAAACAGUAGUUAACAAGAUGAGGAAGACAAAUCUACAAUCAUAUCAAAAGACAGAAACAAUGGAAGGGACAAAGGCAUGGUUGGGUGUUCAGAUCCUUACAUUUGUGCUGAUGCUUUUCCAUGGACAAUUCCAGCCCGGAUACCGCCGAGAACACUGCAAAAACAGAACACGCCAUCUGAAAAUCAGCACACGACAACCCAAGAACACAAACAAGCCAGCAAAUCAAGCGGGGGCGCGCACGCACCGGAGAUGGCCGGCGUGAGCACGCCGUCGCCGAUGACCAUGCACGUGCCCACCAGCGCCAGCACGAGGAGCACGCGCUGCAGCACCUUGUGCCGCUCCAGCAGCCUCCUCACGCCGGCGGCGGCGCCGCCUCCGCCGCCGCGCCCGCUCAGCGCCAGCGCAUUGCCGUUCGCCGCGGCUUUCUUGUCGGCGCCCGCGUCCAAGAACUGGUCCUCGUCGCCCGGCUCGCCGCCGCCGCCGCCGCCGCCAGGCGGGAGGAGCGCGGCGCGGGCGUGGCGGCAGAGGAGGGAGUAGAGGGCGAAGGUGCCGCCCUCGCCGUUGUCGUCGGCGCGGAGGACGACGCAGACGUACUUGAGGAGCGGGACGAGGGUGAGCGUCCAGAAGACGAAGGAGAGCACGCCGAGGAUCUCCUCGUUGGUCUCCGAGUGCUGGAUGUCCUCCGCGAACGCCGCCUUGUACACGUACAGCGGCGACGUGCUCAGGUCGCCGUACACCACCCCGAGGCUCUGGUACGCCAGGCUCAUCGUCAUCCGCCAUGGCAGCCGCCUCCUCUUGCUGCUGCUCCCUCCCUGCUCCAUCCAUCCACCCACCCAAAUCAAAUCACACGCGCACACACACAUUAGCAAAGAAUCCAAGAUCGCACCAAGAUUCAACAACACCAUGAUCAAUCAAUCAAUCACGACCACCACAACCCUCGCAAACCCGACAAGAUUAGACCAUUAACCAUCAAACAUGACACGACCUCCACCACCCAACCCAUACCUUGCAAUCGGGAGAACUCGGCGACUCAGGAUCCACGGGAGACGGGCUCUUCAUUCCUCAAUCCCAACACAAGAACAGAGGAAGCAAAACCACUCCUACUCCUACUCGUCCUACAGCAGCUACAGGGUUUCUUGGCUCUCUCUCUCUCUCUCUCUCUCUGAAUCCCUGGGGGUAUCAAAUCCAACGAUUCAGAGGAGACGGUAAUGGGGAUUAUUAGGCGGUGGGAAAAUUUGGAGUUAUUGAGGUUUUUAAGAGGGUCAAAGCGGAAGCAAAACAGGGGGCACUUUGGAGGGAGGCAGCAUUGGCGUGGUGCUGCUGCUGCUGCGACUGUGAGGCAGGGAGGGAGAAGCGGAACAAUGAAGAAGAAGAAGAUGAGAAGCAGCAGAAGAGAGAGAGAGAAGAAGAGGGCCAGGGAGGAUUGGAAUAUUUGGGAGUGGGACAGCAAAAGAGAGGGGCCAACAAUACUGGGGGAAACCGAAAAAGCAGCAGUUUUUUUUUUCUACUGCAAAAUGUACUUCCUGUUUGGCCGGCUCCUCUGCAUAGGGUCCUUGUGUGGACUCACAAGGGAUGAACUCUUGUUUACAUCCUGCUAAAAUUGUACUACUUCCUCCAUCCCAAAUUAGGCUGUGUUGGAUACCAAAAGUUCCCACUCCCCAUCUCGUUUUCCACGCGCACGCUUUUUAAACUACUAAACAAAACAGUGUGUUUUUUUGCAAAAUAUUUCUAUACGAAAAUUACUUAGAAAAAUUAUAUUGAUCCAUUUUUUAAAAAAUAGCUAAUACUUAAUUAAUUACGUGCUAAUAGACCGCUUUGUUUUUCGUACGGAGAAGAUAUGUUCCCAUCCUCAUCCUCCAGUACCAAACACAACCUUAGUUAUCUUUCUACCAUUUAAUUUUUGUCUCACAGUACUUGUCACUUCCAAGUAUUACUUGUCUCAUCAAUCACAUAUCAUUCAAACUUCUGUCAACCAACCUUCUAUUCUUAAAACAUAAUUUUUUUUAUAAGGGUAUUGUAGUUUUUUAUUCUAAACCUUAGAAUAUGCCAAACAAUUUUAAAGGAAAAGCAAUUUAGGACGGUGGUAGUAUACUCUAUCGGUCUCAAAAUAAGUGCGAUGUGAUAUAUCCAAGAAUUAUAAAUUUAGAUAGGUAUAUUUGAAAAGAAACACAACCUAAAUAAGAUAGUUCAUCAAAGCAUGAUUAAUUAAGUAUUAAAAAGACUUGGAAAUAGAUCAUUAUGAUUUUUCUACAGUAAAAUUUCAACAAAAAUGUUUCAAAAAAAAUAACAUCGUUUAAUAGUUUGAGAAACAUAUACGCAGGAAACGAGGGUAUAGUGUUCUUAAAAAGUUGUGAUGAUAUUAACACAUUAUUUUCAGUGAUGAUCUAUUUAUAAGAAACUGACAAUUAAUGUUGUGAAAACGGGUUUCAUACUUCUAAUAGUAGACGAUAUCAGGAUUUAUGAUUUGUGUAUUAGUUUGGCAGCCAUAAUGCGGUUUCUAGUAGUAGUAUGAUACGGGUUUGGGAUUAUGUAAUUGUUUUCUAAUUAAUUGAAAAAAAUGACUACCUCUUUCAAUGUUAUCGUAGUAAUUAUUGUUUAUUAAUUUAAAAUAAAUGUAUUGUGCUAUUAGGAGACAUUUAUUAGGUGGCAUAGAUAGCAGGGCAAUACCAGUUUCAUGUAGAUGCUCUAUAAAUAUAGAGGUUCUGGAAUUAGAGGUACUAUUACAUUCAUAUGUUAGUUACACUUGUUUAUUGGCCUGAAGCUAAUUUUAGUGACAACAAUAGUUCCCAGUUGGCAUAUAUUUACUGCCCCUAAACUGGAUCAGUAUGGGAGAUAGUAACCUAGUUGCUUUUGUUUAUUGUUGGAAGCAUGGAUUUGUCAUGUGAGGUAGAUGUUUCCUUUGUAGAUUAAACCUUUUUAGUACGAGUACUGUCAAUCAUUUUGCUAUUAAUGCAUGAAAGUAAGAUUCAAAGUACUAUCUACUAGUUUAGAAUAAAACUCAAGAAAGCAUCUACUCCUGCAUUUUACCCUUACUAUAUGUCUAUAUCCCGCGGGUUAUUCUUGAAGCGCAUAAUAACAUAAGAAAGUCAACAGGUGAAAGUUUUCUGCAUAAUUUUUUUUAAUACAAUGCAAUGCUCCAACCUUUCACCUGUUACAUACUAUAUUUUAUUUUUUCCAUGUUCAUAUGUUGUUGGGGCUCUAUCUAUAUAGGCAUUUUUUGGGUCUUUUUUCCACAUCUAAUGAAAUGGCUCACAAAGCUUUUGCGUUCUUGGGAGAAACUCCAAUCAUUUGAACUAAGACUGAUAAGCUCUGAGAAAAAUUAACUAAACAACCAAAAAUAUUUAAUGAGCAAAACUUUUAUACAUUUGUUAUUAACGAUUUGAAAGAUAAUGUUAAAAAAAACAACGAUGAAAUGCAUACAUGGCAACCUUUGAAUAUGAUUUUAGUGAUUAGGGAUGCCUCUUUGAAUGUGUUUUAGAGAACGAACUUAUGUGUUAUAUUGUCUACAGCUUGAAAGAGGCACUACUAUAAAACAUCAAAUAGGUGUCACCACUAUAGGUGCCGGUAGUGCUAAAACCGGCACCAAUAGGCCUUUUCAUACCUUCGUGGGUUGAAAUUAGAAAAAAAGGUAUCUUUAAGUAAUCAUAGGUUCCGUUCUAAAUAAAAACCGGCACCUAUUAUAUUUUGUGUUGGUUUUUUUUAAAAAGCCAGCACCUUUAAUAUAUUAUAGGUGGGAAAAAGUACGAAUUAACCCCCCCAACUAUCGCGGUCGUCCGAAUUACUCCCCUGAACCACAAAACCGGACAUUCUUCACACCAAACUAUGCAAACCGGACGAAUUACCCCUUGGAUCCAAUCCGCGGUGGUUUUGGUCUACGUGGCGUACACGUGGCAUCCCAGUCAGCUGUUUUCUAAUAAAAAAAAUUGUGGGACCCGCAUGUCAUAGUCUUCGCUUUCCCUCUCUCUCACUCUUCCUCUCUUCUCUUUCUCACUCUAUCUCACUCUUCACUGCUUCACUCUAUCGGCGGCAGCGAGAGACACAGAGGAGAGGGCAGCGGGCGGCGGAAGGCGGCGCAUGGGGGCGGACGGCGGCGUCGCGGCGAAGGCCGAGCGGAGGCGGCUGCGGGCGCGGCGCACGGGGGCGGGCUGCGGACGGCGGCUGCGAGCGCGGCGCACGGGGGCGGGCGAUGAGGUGCCUCUACACGUACCGCUCCGCGUGUCCCGUGGCGAGGUCGACAGCGUCGACGAGCCACCGCGCGCGGCCGUCAUCGUAGCGCGUCGAGCGGACCUUGCAGCGGAUGUGGGUGCGGGGGAGGUCCGGGAGGGAGCAGCGGCGGCGACCGCGCGGGGCGUAGAGGCAUCCUCGUCCGCUUCUCCGCCGCCACUCGCCUCUCCACCGCCGCCCGCUUCGCUCGCCUCUCCGCUGCCGCUCGUCUCGCCCGCCUCGUCCGCGCCUCCGACGCCUUGUCCGCCUGUCCGCCGCCGCUCGCCUCCCCUGCCUUGUCCGCCUGUCCGCCGCCUCCCGCCUCUUCGCCGCCGCUCGCCUCGCCCGCCUCGUCCGCCUGUCCGCCGCCGCCCGCCUGCCUCUCCGUCUUGUCGAUGCCGUCGAUCUCGCCACGGGACGCGCGGAGUGGUAUGCGGCGAGGCACCUCGUCGCCCGCCCCCAUGCGCGUUGCCGCGACGCCGCCGUCCGCCGCCCGCCCCCCGUGCGCCAUGCCCGCAGCCGCCUCCGCUCACUUCGCCGCGACGCCGCCGUCCGCCCCCGUGCGCCGCCUUUCGCCGCUCGCCGCCCGCUCCUCCGUGCCUCCCGCCGCGCCGAUAGAGUGAAGAAGUGAAGAGUGAGAGAGAGAAGAGAGGAAGAGUGAGAGAGAGGGGAAAGUGAAGACUAUGACAUGCGUGUCCCACAAUUUUUUUUAUUAGAAAACGCUGACUGGGAUGCCACGUAGACCAAAACCACCGCGGAUUGGAUCGAGGGGGGGUAAUUCGUCCGGUUUGCAUAGUUUGGGGUGAAGAAUGUCUGGUUUUGUGGUUUAGGGGGGUAAUUCGGAUGACCGCGAUAGUUCGGGGGGGGGGGGUAAUUCGUACUUUUUCCUUGUAGGUGUCGGUUAAUUAAAAACCGACACAUACUAUAUAUUAUAGGUGCCAGUUUAUUUUUUUAAAAAACCGAUAUCUAUGUGAAUCAAGCCGAGAUGGCAUCGGAUGAGCCGACCGGUGGCCCCCACACGACGAGACGAGCAUCGGAUAAGGUUCGACGUCUUGCUCUCAUCGUCUAUUCGUCUCAUUCCCUCUCUCUCUCUCCCUCCCUCUCUCUCUCUCGUUUCGCUCUCUUCUCCCUCGUCUCGCUCUCUUCUCUCUCCUGCACGCUGCCGGCGGUUGGUUGGCGGAGGCGGCAGCGGCGACCGCGUCCUCCCCUCGGCCAGAUCCGACGGGAGGGGAGGCGGCGGCAUGAGGGGAGGCGGCGGCAAGUGGCGUGGCUCACAGCCAUCGGCGGCGGCGGCGGCGACCUCCCCUCCGCCAGAUCCGGCAACGACAACCAUCUCCUUUGCUUGCGGCAACGAUGGCGGUGGGCUCCCCACGGGCGACGGUGAGCACCCCCAACCAUCUCCUUCGCUUGCGGCUGCUUGAUUCUAAUGUUUGAUGUGAGAUGAAUGUUGCCAAAUUUUGUUGUGAGAUGAAUAUUGCUUGAUUCAAAUGUUUGAUUCAGUGAUUCAAAUGUGAUUCAGUGAUUUAUUUUGUGAGAUGAAUGUUGCCAAAUUUUCUUUCUUGUGGAUGUGGGAGGAGCGACUGCUCGGCUCGAUGCGUCGGCUCAAUCGAGCCGGCUUUUUUUUAUUCCUCGAACCUAAAAGGUGCCGGUUCUAAGGAUCUGGCACCUUUUUGAUUUGCAAUCUGUGCCGCCUCUCUUGUGCCGGUUGGGAAAACUGGCAUCGAAGAUGGUUUCCCAACCGGCACUAUUCCCCUUUUCUGUAGUAGUGAUGUAUCCCUAAUCACUAAAAUCAUAAAUGUUUCACCACAGACAACAUAGCCAAUAAAGUAUGUUUUAUUUCGCUAUGGUUUGUGUAAGUAUUACUCCCUCUGUCCUAAAUUAUAAGGCCUAUAUUUUUCUUACGCGGUCUUCAAUGACAUACUAUGACAAGUAUUUUAUUUUAUGUUAUGUUCUCAAUAAAUAUGAAAUUAGCAUCAUAAGAAAUUACUUCAAAAUAUUAAUCUAGUGAUAUAACAUGCAUAAUACUUAGUUUAGAUAUAUAGUUAGUAUGAUUAUUAGUAAAAAAAAAUACAAGUUCAAUUUUUGUUAGAAGGGGAGGUCUUAUAAUUUGGGACGGAGAGAGUAUAUAUUGUGUGUUUUUGUUUGCGUAAUCGAAAUAAAAGGUUCACCACGUUACCGUCACAAUUUCUGUUGUACUACUCACCACUGCCACUGCCCAUGUUCGUUAACUGUAAAGAUCAAUAGAAUGGAGGAGAUUACAAUAUCAUUCACAUUCGCUUUCUACUACUCUGUUCGUUUCAAAAUGGAGGAGUUUCAGCUGGACGACACAUAUACUAAUAUUACAAAUAUAUCUGUUUAGAUUGAUAGUAAUAGAAUAUAUCCUAUUCAACUAAAACUUUUUAUAUUUUAGAACGAAUGGAGUAACAUUAAACACUAAUAUCCUGUUUGGAGAACUAGCACAAAGUUAUUUUGAGAGCUAUUUUUUAACAUAAGGAAAUAGCCCUCAAAUAAAAUAGUAGGCCUAUAUUGUUUAGAUUCAAAGGUUAUUUUGAGAGUUAUUUGAUAUUUAAUACACGAAAAAGCCUCUCAAUGCUGCUGUGGGAGGGGCACCGCCCGCAACUUCUCCCAAUUAACCUACGCACGCACGCACGCGCGCGGCAACCCACCCACCCCUCCAGUCUCAGCCAAGCCGGCCCCACACCCCGGCAAUCCGACGUGGGCCAGGUCAAUCGGAUGACGCUGGCUAGGUGGAGCGGUGGUACCCAAAAAAAAAAAGGAAACAGAGAAGAAGAAGAAGAAAAAGAGAAGACAGCCUCGGUGGACGUGCGUGAUAUGCGAGUGCGCUUCUCACUCGCAAGCGUUCUCGCGUGGCGCCCGCGUCCCCGCUGCCGCAGCCAGCCGCCACUGGUGUCGGGCGCGAGGCGCCCUGGCGGUGGGACCCACACACGGUGGUGGUGGUGGCCCCCACUGGACAGUGACAGUGACCUGGCUCUCUCGCUCGAUGCGACGCGACACGACGGUGGCGAUGCGGAAGCUUUUUUUUUUUUUUUCACUUUUUCACCGCCCCACGUCGCCGCACGAGGUGGUCGGUCUCGGCCGGGGACUGAGCAAGCAUCUGGUUGUUUUAUUAUGGGGGCGUUUUUGCCUGUAUUUUUUCUUUUUUUACAGUGAUCCGACGACGGCGACGCGGUGGCGGAAUUCGGCGGGAUCGGGUUUGGACGUUUGCUCGCCGGAGUUUAUUCGCGCGGCGGCGGUGGGUGGUUAACGUCCCGGAUUCGUACGUGUCGGGGCUUACGUAUAUAGAUGAUCGAACAUCUACUAAGCUAUAUACUACUAUGGUACUACUACUUCAACGGUCUUAAGAAAAGGUUGUGGAUCUUCUGUCAUGCACGAUCAACGCUGAUAGAGAAACAAAUUAAUAGUAUAGCACACUACUAGAUCUAAAUUAUCUAUUGUCAAUAUAAUAGCCAGUUCACACAAUACUUGCUUACUAUACUAUUAAUACCUGGUCUCACCUGUCAUACACACAUUAUGUAUGAGAGUCCGUGCUAUAGCUGGCUACAGAUCUGUAGUCCGCUGCUCUUCUCUCUUCCUUUAUCUCUUUAAAAUAUGUUUAUAGCUGGCUUAUAGCCUGCUAUUAUACCUGUUCUAAUAAGAUACACCCUCCGUAAAAAUAAAAACUGUUCCUAUCUACGAAGAUACGAAGAUUCAUGGCUAAGUUGAAACUUUUUUUUGACGGAAGCCCCCAUCGUUUCGUUUAUUCGUGGAAUAAGCUAAAGGACACAUUUGUAAACGAAAAAUAAUUUGUGAAUAAAACUUUUAUGUUCAUGUUCUUAGUGAUCUAAAAGCAAAGGCCGAAAAAAUUCGAUAAAAGAAAUCUCAAAAUCAGCUCUAAAUUUAAGGUUGAAAAUUUAAAAUAUGGCUGAUAAGCAUAAGCAUAAACGAAAAGACGAGAUUCAAAGUAUACUCCAUAAAAAAAAGAAACAUGAAGUCCGAUAUUCUGUAUGAUCUUCAAUAUGUGUGAAAAAUUCAUUCUGCGGUAGUGUACCUGUAGAAUUAGUAUAAGGCCCUGUUUAGUACACACCAAAUUUUCUCUAAACUUCUAACUUUCCAUCACAUCACAUCUAAAACUUUUCUACUCACAUAAACUUUCAACUUUUUUUUUCUAGACUACUCCCUCCGUCCAAAAAAAAACCUAAUCCUGGGUUUGAAUCAAGAUUGAGUUUUUUGGGACGGAGGAAGUACCAACUUUCCCUAAACUUCUCUCCAAUUUCAGAAACUAAACACAGCCUAAGUGUACCUGUAGAGUAGUGCCCAUUUCAAUUCUAGAUUGAUUUAUUUUGGGAUGUAAUGAGUAUAUUACAUUAUAUUACACUAUAAACAAAAGGAUAUGCAAAUUGUCUUUUCUUUUAAAUGCCAAAAUAAAAAAAGAUCGGGAUUGGUUAGUGCAUCAACAUCUUCACGUAGCAUUCGUUUCCUAUUUAGUGCCACCGAAUUUUGGCACUUUUGCAUGGACAACUUCAUUUUCCAAGCAAUUAUCUCUACACCUUUCUUCUCCAACUAAUGUAUAUAGUAUUAAAAAAAAUAAUAUCUUCAUAUAUAUAUAUAUAUAUAUAUAUAUAUAUAUAUAUAUAUAUAUAUAUAUAUAUAUAUAUAUACAUCAGAAAAAUCACAAUUAUACCAUGAUAUCAGUGGAGCUUUGUAGAUAUAAAGCUUUUGAUAUGAUAUUCUACACAACUCUACCAACAAGGAGUCACCAAAAUACCAAUUUGUAGAUAUAAAGCUUUUGAUAUGAUAUUCUACACAACUCUACCAACAAGGAGUCACCAAAAUACCAAAGCAUAUCUCUUCCGGCCAUUGACAAUGAAUAUUGAUUAGGUUCCAUCUCCUUCUGAUGUGACCUAAUUUGGUCCUACCUCCAAUAUUUGUUUUCAUGUGCCCUUGCUAGGGUGACCAUCCUACUUUGGUUCAAUGUUGGCCGACCCACCAAGGUCAGAUGUGACCAAGCAUUGCGUGUGCCUAGGUCACAUACCUGUAUGUUUAUUAGUAAUAUUUUUUUAGGCUUUAGAACGUCCAAGUUUUAUGUACGUAUAUCUCAAUGUACUGAUUAAUGUAGUGCCAUAACAAACACAUUGUUGAGUGUUUGCCAUUUUCUUCUAUUUUUGUUAUUGCUAGUUGAUUUGUAACAUACUACCAAUUUAGAGUGACAUAUAACUAUAAUAGUAUAAUGUUAUUAAAAGAAACACUUCUAGUUCAGCUCGUUUGUGCGGAAAAAGGGAUAUUUUGGGUAAAACAAGAGAACAUGGAAUCAUGUUAGGCAUAGAAAAAUUUAGGACGUACUACUUUAGAACACCGAAGAACUCUAUUUCUUCUAAUAUAUUGACGUGCAAUUUUUUUGCGUAUUAAAAAAAAACUUUAGAACACAAAAGAAUGGUUUUUACGUUCUGCGAGGAUCAAACUGAUUCAUGUAAAAUUUACACUCCAGAUUGCCUUGAUAUGCAAAGUGCUUAUACAAUUUAGGAUUAUUGUCACGGAUUAUGUGCACCAUAUCUUGAAAAAUAUAUUUAUCUGAAAAAACUUUCUUCUACUGCAUUGAUUAAAUUACUUGUUUUGAACUAUUUGAUAAGUUUAUUUUUAUAAUAUUUAUUCUAUCUCUAUAAUUAAGUUGAAAUUCGUGGCAAUAAUCAAGUGAAAAAUUUGUUUCAUGGCCUUACCUUACCUUACAGUGUACAGUGCUAUCACAAUUUUUUUAAGAAGGGUCUCCAAUCUUGAGAACCACUGACUUUGGGUGCGAAAUUUGUCUGCAUCCACUGGCUGUGCCAACUGCCAAGUAAGCCUCAAUGUCUUAAAUGUGCACACGUUUUCUAUAGUCAGGUUGCUGCACAUUUUGGUCAUCAGUCAUCACAUCUUCAUGUACGUAAUGCAUACUACAAAAUAGAUUUAUUUAGUAGUGCCCCUUUCUAGUGCUCAUGAUGAUUAGCAGAUGAAGGUAGUAUCCGGCCUCACCUACAUCUGGGGCAGAACAGUGUAAAGCAAUCUUAAAUUAAGUACUCCGACUUAAUUUAAUGAACAUCAACUAAUCAUCAAAGAAUGAGGACAAAGGUGUUUGCCUCAAAGCAUGGCCCAAAAAAGUUCUCCCUUUGAAUAAAACAGUGGAAAACGAUGCAAAAUCCAAAUGGCAUAUAUUCUUGGUUAAUUCAAAUGCAUGGGUGAGAUGCCUUAGUUCUCAAACAAUAUAAAGAUACUGACACACUUGGUUACAAAUACAUUAAAGAGGGUAUUUCUAUUCAGAGAUGUCAUGACUUUGUAUUUGCCCAUACUCCAUAGCGAGGCUUCUAUUCUUUGGGCUGUGUGCAUACUAAGUUGGUGCAGAAGUUAUUUCAUUACUUGAUGAAAUAUCCAUUAUAUUAAAAAUAGGAUUAUCAUUUUUAAUUUCAUGUUUUUUUUUGAAAGUAGCCCUGAGAUUUGAUAGAGAUGUUCUUUCAAACCACUGCUUGUUAACAGUUGGAUCUGUCAAUGUUUUUCUCAAGGACACAUCAUAAGAUACCUACAAACAACCGAUGAAGGAUACAUCAACUGACUUAGAGGCAUCACCCCUUUGGAAUAUAUGGCACUCUUGAUUCGCAUUUUUUUCAUGUCCCUUAGCUAAUGGAAUUGAGUGCAGUGUAUCAGGCGGAUGAGAAAUGCGUUGAUCUGUUCUUGCACAGCUGGGGUGAACAUUUUUCUAACUGCGAUCUGAUAGUAGUCUUCUAGAGGAUCAAGCCCAGGUGAACAAUGUUUUAUGAUGUUUGAUUGCGACAAUAUUUGUAAAAAAUAAUUCAGAGCAAUACAAAUGGACAAAAAGAAAACUAUUACUUAAUGGGAACUGUCCAUGCAUCUACCUAAUUUCCUGCACCAUCUAACUAAUUUAAGUGGCUAUUUCCACUAUUUAAUUAGGCCCCUUUAGAACACACAGGAAAAGUAAAAGAAAGGAAUAGGAACAAUACAUUAUUUUGAUAGAAAUAUAUAUGAAAAAAAAGAAUUACAUACCAUUUUGAAACCUGCAGGAGAAACAUAGAAAUUUAAUGAGAGAUAGACUCAAAGAAAUUUUUUCUAAAAAAUUAUAGCUCUUGUUAAUUUUCCUCUGAAAUCUAUACGCAUUGAGCGUAAGGGGUUUCAUAUGAUUUGGAAAGCUCAAUAAUCCUUUGUUUCAAAGUGAUAAAUAGGAAAAUUUUCUAUAGGAUUAGAAUGCUACAAAAUUUUUGCAUAAAUUCUUUGUUUCAAAGGAGGCCUUAACUUCAACGGCCUAAAUACAUUUUUCACUAUUUCCACAGAGAUUUUAAUUCCUACAAGAACAAUAAAAGGGAAGAAAUAAAGAACAUCAUAUUUUCUUUUGAGGAAUACGCAAAAGGUAUUCGUAUCAUUGCAUCAAGACUUAUUCUGCUACUAUAUUUAUUUAUUUAGCAUAGCAGUUGGCAAUGCAGGUGCAGAAGUUGCACGGUUGUGUGCUUUGCAUAUACCCUUAAAAUGCACCACCAAAUCUGAUUAAUAAACGAAACCAAUGACGAUCACACCUACCUAACCCCAACUUUGGUACGACAAACAGCGUACAAGUUUUGAUGCCUCUGUCCGUUUAUUCAGUCUGAGAAGAAACUGAAUUAGACAUCAGGAAACCAUCAGCAUUCAGCAACUCCUUCCCUAAUUAAAGUAGACUUUCUAGAUGAACAAUCAGCACAUUAUUUAUGCAUGCUGGUAGAUUAAUUACUAAAAUUGCUGACAAAUGAUACCGAACCUUUUGCCAAAACGUGAACCACUGCAAUUCCCCAAAAGCCACUGAAAAGCUGUACUGUGCCUUGUAUUAGCCAAACUGAACUGGUAAACCUUAAAAAAAUAAGUUAAGGAGAAAACGAAAGCCGAUCUGAACUAUCGAAGUAUAUAAUGAAGGCAUUAGGUAUCUUGGCGUCACUCUGAAGAUAACAAAUUCAUGGGCGGUGAUAUGAUCUGAUCUCAGCAGAUAAAAAUUAUACGGUCUUACAGCCACAGACAGUUGUGCUUUGCGUCAGCAUGUGGUUACAAAAACUCGAAUUUUUAAUUUUGUGGUUAUGUAGCAUCCUAUUAUGGCCAGGACCAGUGUAUUGGUCAUGUCUUAUUUCAACGAGUUCGUUUUCACUACUCUACUUUUUUUUAGAAAAAAAUAAUUUUACUACUACCUUCAUGUUUAAAUAGACGAUGAUAUUAGUUUUUUGACGUUUGCUCAUUCGUUUUAUUAAGAAAUAUAUACAGAUUUAUAAAAGUAUUACAUAAAGUAUAUGUAAUAAUAAAACAAGUCACACCAAAAUAAUAGUACUUACAUUUUUCUCUAAUUUUUGAUAAAACAAAUAAUCCAACGUGCAUACAUAUCUAAAAGUUGACAACGUCAUAAACUUUUUUAAGAACCACUUAAGUGUAUCAACCGCAGAAAAACUCAGUUUGAUACACUAGGAUGGCUUGAUACUGAGUGUAUCAACUUUUUUAAAAAGUGUAUCAACCGCAGAUACUUGAGAAAAACGUCAUAUACUAGGAUGGCUUGGUGUCUUCUCAAGUAUCAUAAAAACUCAGUUUUAAGCAGGAGAGUAUACCUACGUACACCGCACCGGGUAGAUCAUGUAUAUUUCCUGUUCUUUUAUGUUCUUUUAGACUAUGUUAAUUAUUGCAAAAUCACUCAACAAUCAGACUAUUACUUGGAUAUACAAACCCAAGGUAUUUUUGUUGUAAGUUUGCCACUGUUCCCAAGUUAUCAAGUAUGAGCAGAAAACACUGUUGCUAAAAAGAAGAAAAAACAAUCAACCUCCAUACUGCUCUAAUGUUCUAUGGCCAGCACACAUAUCGGAUGACACCAGAAAUAAUCAUAGAGUAUUAGAAUAAUGAGGAUCACAGACAAAAACGUGCAAGGAGGCACGCAUCAAAGCGAGAUUGCAGAUGGACACCCUGUAGUGUCCCUGAAAAUGUCUCGUUUUCCCUGACAUGAGCUCAACUACUGCCUGGGCAUUGCUGCUUCUGCUCCUGCAAGCUGCAUGCUGAAAUGUACUAUAUGAGGAUGAUCACAUCUUCAUAUAUGCAUGGCUGUCCUGGAUCUAUUUGUUUAGUAGGAUGAUCCAUGGAAUUAAGAACUGGAAUUAUUGGAGAGGGAUUUCUAUACUGACUGAAUCUUUAUAUUCCAUCCAAUAUUUUCCAACAAGAUACAGUACCUGUAUAUUAUUAUAUCAUGAUUAUCCCUUGAUUUAUAUCUAAACCAAAUCACGCUUCCGUGUACAUCAUAAGCUGAAUCAUGACACGCAUGUUUCCUACAUAUGUCCACAAGGUAUCAGUAUUUCAGAAGGAAUUGCCUGGAAGAGAAACGACCAGAAUUAACGGGAGCUAUCUAGCAAAACAGAAAGAAAAGGCACUCAGCUAUCUCACCCUGCAAAAUUGCAUCAACAUCUCCAUCAAAAACAGGCCAAAAGAACAAGAAGAUGCUGGUGUCACCGUCAGUCUGUUCUUGGUGCACAAAUGGAACCACGUUUUCAUGCCACGUUGAAAGUGAAGCGACAUCGCCAUUUUCAGGAAAUACACCGCACUGCCAAAACUGACCACAAAGAAAAUUACAUCGCUUCUCUAGAGUAUUAAAAAGGAAAUAGAAAAGAGGAUAUCUGCAGGUAUUCUGCAUUAUUUUCCAACUUCCGAUAUGCCAAAAGUUUCUUCUUCUUUUUCCUUUGAAAAAAUUGGCUCUGUCAAAAGUUUUGGAGUGUAACUAAGGUCAUGUGCUGGCAACAACCGAAUAUAUUGUCUUGUGAUGUGAAGCGAGCAAAUCUUUUCUUUUUUUCCUUACCUGAAUAUUUUCUCAAGCUGCAUAAUGAACGUACAGGAUCAACAAUUCAACAUAGUGACGAUGCUUUUGGCUUUGGAGCUGUAUGUGCUAGUAAAACUUUUCAUAGUUGCGGUCAUUUUCGCAUCUUGUGCCUGUCAGUCGCGGUAGGUGCAGAAAGUACUCAGAUACUACGGUACUAGUGUUUGCAAAUUUUUACAAGUUAUCUUUAUGUGUACAUCUAAUUGAACCAUUGAGAUACCACUUCUUUUUUUUUAACAAAAGAAAAGAAUUUCUCGAAUGUGUCAUAAUUUUUUAUCCAUCUUAGUUCACAAUUUGCACAACUUGUGUAACAUACUAUCUGAGAGUCUUAUCAAGGCCGUACCCUACGGUGAUGAAUAUGGCUAGUUCAUUGCUUUUGAUCUAACGAAUUUUAUUAAGGGCAUCCUCAAUGUAUGUUUAUUAAGUGGGUAGUAAGGUGGGACCCACGAAACUAGGUUAUAAUUGUUUCUACCUCUUACAAUGUGUGGGAAGUAAGAUAUAACCCACAUGUAAAACAAUGAUUGGAUAGAAAAGAGAGUGAGAGAAUGAGAGAAGAGAGUUUAAUAUUUUUUUUAUGCUUGUUACCUGGUAGUAGUACUAUUGCCUGCUAUAGUUAUUACCUCCUCUACUACCCACCUCCACAAUGUUAAAGUAGGUAGUAAGGGGUCUUACUACCCACUUUUCAUCCACAUUGUUGAUGCCCUAAGUACUGUGAAAACGCCCUAUUUGUUACAAAGACAAUGAACACAAUCGUAGUGGUAGGUAGACAUGGUGCAUUUUUUUCAAAAAAAAGAGAAGAAAUUAUAGAUCCUGAUAUCUAUAUCUUUAAUAUACGUAUCCAAGCGUCGCCAUAAUAUGGCUUUCGAGUUUAUUGCACUGAGAACACCCAAGUCCGAAGUUGAUAUCACCCAUGGAAAAGAUAGCAACCGGUACUUCGAUUCAUAAAACCGCUUUCUACAUCUGUAUGGUACAGUGGAUAUACAGUGGAAGAUUAUUAUCUGCAAUAUGAUCUGGUGGCCACAAGUUGGAUGGCCCAAUCCAAUGCCAAGCUCCAACUUGUCUACGGAACUCGAAUAGACAUCUCAAUUAUUGGCCAUCGAAUGGAAUGGAGAUCGAUCCAUCGAUCGAACAUCUCACCUCUUGGCAUCGAUUCUUCCAUCUUCAGAGUAUGCACAUGCUCUGAUAUGCUCAUGAAGAAGUACUCACAAUCAUGGUAGUUACAUACAACCCAUGCUUCACCUGGAGAUCGAUUAAUCAGUAGCUUCUGUAGCUCUGUUCCUAUAGCAAAUUUUAACUUCAGUAAAGAAAAAAAAAACCAUCUCUGAACUUAAUUCUCUCGCUGAUGUCCAUGCAUAUGUACUUGAGUCUACAUGACAUUUCUCUGUCAUGAGAGACAAACAAACACAAAUGUACGGUGUGAGUACGGUGAUGCAUACUACACCCUGCUACGUACAAACAUGCCGUCACAGUUGACGAUCAGAGUGAACAGUUUGACUGAUCGACAGUAUUGCAACAAUCGUGCUCCAGGCCGUGUCUAAUCCUUGAACAGUAUUCGAGUAGUGAUCUGAUCUCAGAGACGGCAAAGAUUUGUCAUCUCAAGAGGGCGACAUGAACAAGGUACAUCACUAUUAUGUGUUUGUUGCUUUGGAAAAUCCGUAUCAUCAUACUAGUAAUACUACUGUACCCAUCUAAUCAGGUUAGCUGUACAUCUUAGAUCUUUUUCUUCUCGUCCUCUCUAAAAAAAAAAGAUCUCCUUUCUUUUUUGUCAUGAAAGUAGCUAUAGGUUUUUCAUGAUGGUCCAAUGACCAAAACCAAAAAAAGAGUACACUUGAUGGCGCCUUUUCCGCUUUUAAGUUUCAGCAAGUUGGGAGACGAAUGAAGCGUCCCCCGGUGAUCCGGUCCCCUUCUUAUCCCAUCACGAAUUCGCGCGUGGCCGGGUGACUCAUAGUCCACUCAAUGCUACCAAGGUUUAUUUUCUGAGUAAGGAUGCAGAUUCUAUUCUCAUUUUUAUUAGCACAUAAUUUAAACCGCUAAACAAUAUUUUUUUAAAAAACUUUCUAUCGAUAAAUUCAUUUUUUCAAAUUUAUAGUAAUAAUUAAAACUUAAUUAAUUACAUGCUAAUGUUUUUUUUAAUUCGUAUCCUAACUUCAUGCUAAGGUUAUCCUAAGAGACGCACUCGCUGUGUGCGGCCCAAACGAGCAGUCUUUUCGAUGUGGAGGUUUCAGAUAACCUUAGCGAGCUCUAAAGCGAAAUUUUUCAUAAAUACAAGUAUACAUAUAUGCUUUGCUUAUCUCGGUGGAGAAGUUGAUUCCAGCUUUGGUUUUGUGUGAUUUGGCGGCGAUCGAUCUCUGUCGGCCGGCUGGUCAGAUAGAUUAAUCCGGUAACGUUUUAGGUAUGUUUUGGAAUAAAGCGAGAGCACUAUCCUGCUAGCUUUAUGGAAGUGUGUUUAGUGUGGGUUAUUAAUUACAAGCUAAUGAUACUCCAGCUGAUUAAUCAGGGCCGGUUUGGUGCAGACAUAUCUCUGUCUAUCAGCUGCGACGUGUGAUGUGUAUAUACAUGCAAUGCUUUGGUUAAUUGCUUGUGUGGUCGAAUUAGUGGCUUGCUAAACCUCUUUUUUGUGGUGAAAGUGGCUCAUCAAUCUUUGGCUAUAGUACUGCUAGUGCUUUUGUUUUUGAUUGAUGUGCUACACAUGUUGAAUCCUCUGUUGGCUUUGGCUCAUGACUGUUUGGAAACGUCAUUUUUUUGCGACUUUCUGCAGUGCUUUUUCACUAGGUUUGAUUGCUGCGGUCGUGGAGGAAAAUGACAGCACAACGCAACACUGUGUUCCCUCAUUGUUUUUCAACUAAGGAGACAAUAGUACAGCGAUCAUGAUAGAACUACAGAUGUCACGGUUUGUGCUUAUAAAAUUGAUGACACGAGAUUUGGCCUGUCUGAGAUGCAUAGGAGCCCAGCCCAGAUAGCCCAUCAACCUGGCCCGAUCAUUCAGACCAAUUUGUUUUUUUUUUCUUCUACAUUUUACCCGGUCCCUACAUACAACCGAUAUAUGCAGCAUUUUUUAUAUACUCCUUUCGUCCCAUAAUAUAAGGGAUUUUGGAUGAAUGUGACAUAUCCUAUGUCUAGAUUCAUUGCACUAGGAUGUGUUAUAUCCACCCAAAAUCCCUUAUAUUAUAGGACGGAGGGAGUAUAUUGAAUUUAGUGCUUCAAACAACCCCUUGGAACUUAGUUACUCAAACAAUCCAAUCUGAAAUUCGAUCCUAUGAAGAUUUCAACUCAGGAUUUAGGGUGCUACUCAUGUCAUUGUAAUAAGAGAUCUUUUACGGUGUUUGCGAGGUAUUUAGAGGUGGAAUAAUGUGCACCGUUGAUCAAGAGAGGGGCAAGGUACGGAACAAAAUUAUUGUAACAUGAUGGCAUUUGAGUAAUUAACUAGUAAAACAUAGGCAAUACAUUUGAAUUGAAUACCUCCUUCCAUUGGUCGGUGUAUCGUAGUAGCUAUUGGUAUCGUUGUAGAGAAAAAAGUAAAUCAAGGAUACUCCGUUGAUUUAGGGAUUGAUUCGAUUAUAUCAAAAAGUAAAUCGUGUCUCCUUUCUUCUCUCCCUUUGGUUCGUUCGUGCUCUAGGGUUUGAACCAGUUCAUCUCCGACGUUGUCGCCAGCAGCGGAGCCACCUCCGCUGCCACCUAAAGUUCCUCCCAUCACCCACACCGGUGCCGGUGCGGCAGUGCAACCUGCGUCUCUCCCAUCGCUAGUGCCGGUGAAGGCCCGUACGUUGCCAUCUUCCUCUUCCCCAGGUUGGACAUGGCGCUAACGACCAGAUUAAUGGCACUCACCGGCUUGCCGCUAGACAUGGACGUGGAGACCAAAUCUGCAAGUGCAAUUCACGCAUGUGCUAUAGAUCUAUGGAAAUGUCCUCUCUUUGCAACUCCAUCUGCUUCGUUGGUCUUGCGAGAACUAGUUCAUGAGCAAGCAAAUGACCUAAAUGACGAUGACAUGGAUACUACUGAAGCUGGGAUUGGUGAUGAAAAUGAGGCUUUCAUAGAUGACGAAAAUGAAAAUUAUAUGGAUUUCGAGUACGUUCGUCACCAAUUGCUAGCCCAAGGCCAGAAACAUGUUAUAAGAACACAAUGUAAAUCUAAAGAAAAUCACGUAAAAGAGAACAUCAAACAAUACAAAGUAAAUCUAGAGAAAAUGAAUUAAGAACCUGUUACGCUAGUGCCGUGUAAAUGACCUAACUCAAACACAACGUAAAUCUACAGGAAAACCACGCAAAAGUGACACAAAUAAGAACAUGUAACGCUGGUACCAGGUAGAUGUUAACUCGUACAGUCGUACCUACUUAGUACCUAUUAUAAUUUGGGGGGGGGGGCAAUUUUACCCUUUUUGCUCUAUUAACAAAAUUAUAUUUUUAUCCUUAGUACCUAAGUAUCUAUACUAAUACUUAAAUACCUUUUAUAUAGUAUCUGUGAUUGAGAACUGUUGGAUCUUUACCUUUUUUGGAAUGCAAACACCGUAAAAGUUCUCUUGUACUAAACUAUAUGCCCUUUAGCAGACCAGCUGUUUUGGCCCGAUCAACUAAAUUUUUUGCAACUGGUCUAGUCUUAUUUACAACUCUUGACAGCAGUAGUACAUGGUAAACUAAGGUCAAUUUUGCUAUAUAUUUGUCAACAAAUUUUCUCCUAAAAAUUUGACGGAUGUUGUAAUUACACUAUAACUUAUAUGUAAUUACAUUGUAACUAUAAUGUAACUUGUAUGUAAUAUUCAAAAAUCUCUUCGUAACAUGUUAUUUCGGUAAAAUGGAGGUCGUGGGAACAAAUCUUCUCACAUAUGUGUGUGCUGUGAUUUUUUUUCUUCCUCAGCAGAACAAAUCUUGUAAGAGAUUUAACGAUUCAAAAUUACGUGAAACUUACAUACAAGUUACACUGUAGUUACAUGCAAGUUACAGUGUAAUUACAUACAAGUUAUAGUAUAAUUGCACUACGAUUGUAUUAUAAUUACACGUGUCAAAUUUUUAGGAGAAAAUUUGUCAACAAAUGUAUAGUUGAUCCCAACUAAGAUAAAGAGACCAGCUAUAGCUUAGGGCUAUGUGUAAUACAGCAGCGGGCACGCGUGGGACGUGCACGAAUCGGUCUCGAUCGCAUCUAGUAGGCACUACGCGGCAGAGCAGGGCGGCGAUCGACGCGCGGAAGAUGCGGCCAGUGGGAAUCGAUCAGCGGGGGAAGUGGAUGCUCUGACGUUAGUGUUCGCGGUGACGUUACUUCAUCGUGACUGACAUGUGGACCCCACCACUCUUGAGCCCACAUGUCAACCACCAAGUUAGUGGAAGUUACGUCAGAGGAUCUCAAUCCAUUGGCGGGGGUAGCGGGCUGGAGUGGUUGCUACCAAGCGUCGCCUUGCCAACACGCAGGUGAAUGACGUGCAAGGGAUGAACCAGACGAGGUCAUUGCUGAUGUCGACGAAGAGCGACAUGGAGCAGGCCGUGGACUGAGAGUGACAUCGUGUAGUUGCUUCCCGGCGCAAGAGCUGGCAGAAAUGGGGAAGAGAGGGGAGAGUGAAUGUGCAUCCCAGGUUAUUUAUUUAUUUAUUAGGAUGCCACAUCAGCUAAAACAUGUAUCUAUACGAGAAAAUAUAUAAUAUGUCACUGUAUAUGUGGGGGUUUCGAUGAAAUGCCAUUUAAUAGAAUGCACAGAAUAAAAUACCACUCAUUAUGUUGCCUAUCGGAGGAAAUACCACUUUGGGGGGGGGGGGUUUAAUCAUUUCUAUGCCCGAAAUGCCCCUGGCUAUGGGAGGGAGGGAGGGAGAGCGAGAGAGAGAGAGAGGAGCGCUGGGGACCGAGCGGGUAACACCAGAGGCCUCACAAGGUGGCGGCUGCGGGCGACAAGGUGGCAAGCGGGCGAAUGAGCGGUGGCGGGUACAACAGGGUAGAGAAAGAGGCGACGACAUGUAAAGAGGAGGAUGGGAUGGCGAGCGGUGAGCGUGCUCGCUGGGAAGCGGCAACAACGGGGGGAGGGAAGGGAGGAGGAGGAGGAGGAGACGACACGGGGGAGGAAAACAGAGUAGCAGUGCCUAAGUGGCUAUGGAGACAACGACCAUCUGAAGCUCCACCUCUGCCGCGGUGAUCUCGUCCUCAUCAUCGCCUACUCCUCCCUCUGCCCCGUUGUCCUCUCCACUGCCGUGUCCUCCUCCCCCCAUAUAUUGUCCCCACAAGCUCUAUCGCUUUCCAGCGAGACCUCUAGCGCCGCCGUCCCUAGUGCUCCCCUUUCCCCCUCUCUCUUCACAGCUAGGGACUUUUUGGUCAUAAAAAUGGUUAAAACUCUCCAAAGUGGUAUUUUUCAUCCAUUAGACUACGUACUGAGUGGUAUUUUAUCCGGUGUAUUCUAUUGAGUGGUAUUUCAUCGAAACCCCAUAUAUAGAGUGCAUAUUGUCCAUUUUCUCCUUAGGGCUUGAUUUGGAUGAUUUUGCUAGGUGAAGAUUUUUGGUAUUGUGAUUUAGGGAUGUCAAUUAAACAUGACGUAAAGAUGAGGGAUGAUAAGUGGACCUAUUCCAUGUACAAAUAAAGACCAUGGCCCACAUCUGUAUGUAUUGCUUGAGAUUUUUCAGAUACUAUGGCCCUGUUUGGUAGGGUUCGAAACUCCAACUCCAGUGAGAGCUGGCUCCUAUAAGAGCUGAGGUGGGUAUAGAAAAUGUUUGGCUAGACUACUCAGCUCUACACCACCACAUUCCUCGUCACCAUUUCAUGGCAACCUACCGUUGUCGCCGCCUGCGCACCGCGCCGCCUGGCAACCCGCGGGCCGCCGCCACCGGUCAUCCCACGUCCACCGCUGCCGGGUAGCCCGCGAGCCGCCGCCGCCAGUCAGCCCACGCCUGCCGCCUGUCGACGUUGCCACCUCGAGCUGCCGCCGCCGAUUAGCCUACGAGCCGGGCCGCAGCCUGUCGACGCCGCCGCCAUCGCCUGCUGCCCUCGCCAUCGCGUGCCGCCCACCGCCGCGUUCGCGGCCUGCCGCCACGACCGCGGCCCGUCGCCGUCCGCCGUCACUGCCUACUGCCGCCGACGCGACUCGGCCGCCGCCUGUCACCAUCGACACAGACGCAGGCGCUGCUACCACAUCCGGCCGUUUGAAGGAGGAUGGGGGAGGAGAGAGAAUGGGAGGAGAUGGGAUAGGAAGGGGUAGUUCAAUGGAAUUUCUGUGUAAAUACACUAAAAAAAUAAAAGGGUAGUGGGUUUUUGAGGUGCAGUGGAGCUGUGGAGCAGCAAAAAUUCAAUUCCACCCCUAUAGUACAAAUUUGUGGAGUAGCUUUGCUAACUCCGCUUCGAAAAAUAAAGAAUUUGUAUUGUUUGGCACAGCUCACAGCUCUUGGUAAGUUGGAGUUGGGAGAGCUACGCCAAAUGGAGCCUAUGUGCAUCUCUUAAUGUAUGACUAAAUCCAUAAAGUUAAGAAACAACUUAGAAAAAUUUAUCUAAGCAAUACCGAUGUACAAUUCUUUUGUAAGAAAUCUUGUUUUUGAAAGCAUAUCAAUAAUAAUCCACACCUCCAUUAAUUGGUAAAAUAUACUUGCAACUCACUCAGAAAACUGUCAUUCCAAAAUUCCAUCAGCUUUGUUAUAGAUCACCAAAAUCUUUAUUUGUCACUCUUGUGGAGGUUGAUGCCACCAAACUAUCACAACAAACCAUCGCCACCAAUCGGAGCGAAAAUAAUAGGAUGUUAACUAGCUAAAUCUAUAUGAAAAGUAAACAUAAAUGUUUGGUGCAAAUUUUUAAAAAUUGUAUACAUCCUGUUGGGUAUCGUACACUCAUCCACAUAUUAUUGAAUGAUUGUUGAAGAUACUCUAUCGAUUUAAGAAGGUUUUAUUAUUUCCCAACAAAAAAUUCAAUAAACAAUCAUAGAGCUUGCUGAAUAAGCAUUUUCUGAAUAAGAGAAUGUUAUAUUUGUUUCUCACCAAGAUCUCACACAAAAUAUAUAAGCUUUGAAAUUAGAACCCAUUACCAAACAGAUUUAAAAUUAGAACUCACCUAUGGCCGAAGAUUUAUAGUGUACCAAUAGCAGCAUAUUCCUAUACUUUUCCCUUGGUAUGAUUUUUUUUCAGUUCUAAGUUUUCACAUGCAAUUUGUGCGACGAGGAUGCACAAGCUGCGUGUCUCGUCAUGUUUUUUUUAGCCUGCCGGCAUUGCGACAUGGUCUUUAGUUUCUCAGGCGACUCGGCACGGACAGGCGGCGGUUUAGUUACAGCUGCUUGUCGGAUAAGGGUCCGAUCAGCUUUACUUUUACCUGAAAUUUUGCCUGAGCCAAAGACAGACGACUCAAAAAUUAACUAUGGGUAAUAUAAAAAACAAUCCAAGAGGUGCAAAUUUGAAUUUUUUUUUCUUAAAGAGAUGCUGAAACCUCAGAUAGUUGGUUUGUAUGGGCUUGUUCCAUACAUAAACGAUCGUUAGUGGCACGUAAUAGAAGAGUUACAGAGUAGUAGUAGUACUAUCAUUCACUGAGUAUAGUACAGAAAAUUGGUAGGAAGUAAUAUUAUUCAGCAGUACAGAGAAGUAUUUAUCGUGCGACGCUUACCAUAGAAGUGCAAACAGUAACCGUUACUUAGAGCAAUUGUGUGCUACCUCUAAAAAUGACACAUAGGAUUAGAUUAUGAGGUAGAGAAGAGAAGUGAGGAGAGAGAUGAGGAACCACCCCCAAAUCAAGAGGUAGCCUCCACACAAACUCCAAAAAAAAAUAUGAGAGUACUAAACGCAUUGAUAUUUGUUUAUUAGAGUGAAUGAAAUAAAUAAAUUAGGGAUAGCAAUAAUCACAUCUACUGUAGCACUUGCCAUCCGUAGAUCGAACAAAAAAAUACUACUACUGUUUUAUAAAGAAUAGGUUCAAUUCCCUUAAAACAAUCCUAUAAAAACGUACAUUUAUAACAUAUGAUAUAAUAUACGCUUGUUAAAAAAACUAGGAAGGUAACCCGCGCGAAUGCGCAGGUAAGUAUGUUUUUUUACACGCGUUUGACAAUUUGUCUUAUUUAACAUUUUUAUGCAAACAUGUGAAAAUGUAAGUCAUGCUUAAGUUAUAAAGCAAGUCACAUCAAAAUAAACUAAAUAUUAUUUAUUUUCAAUAUAAAUAAAUCAUCGAACUUGUACUGAAAAUUCAACAGCAUCAUCUAUCGAAAAUUGUACCUUUAAUAAUCGUACAAAUUUUUCAAAAAUAUUAUUUAUCGACAUUGUUUAUUUUUAAGCUUUUUGUUAGAUACACAUGUUUAUCAUGUUUAUAGAUCAAUACUCACUUUGUAAAGUAUAAGUAUAUUUGGAUUUGGUACGGUGUUUGAGAUACUGGAUUGUUUGCAAUUUAGAAAAAAAAUAUUUUAUAAAUAGACCCCUAGAAGAAUUAUUCCAGAAAUGAUAUUUUUUAUGUGCCAGAGUGGCUAGUGCUAUCAUCCAACAUGGCGGCGCGUCCCCAUGCAACUAUGGUACCGCGUGGCCGACCGUAGCUGACAUGGCAGGAGAAUGGCGCCGACCCCCUCCCCUUCAUAAGGCAUCAACGCCUCUGUGGCGCGCUCACCCUAAGGGGUGGGCAGCACUUAAUCCGCUCGGGCCCCACCCCCUCCCCCUCCC